AUCGACCAAGUCAUGAAGAACUCCCACUGCCGCGACCCGAAGAUGGAGGCCUACUGCGAUGAGGUUCGGCGCCUGGAAGACAAGUUCUACGGGCUCGAGCUUAACCACAUCGCUCGGCGCUACAACGAGACUGCGGACAAGCUGGCAAAAAUAGCCUCGGGGCGAACGACGGUUCCCCCGAACGUCUUCUCUCGGGAUCUGCAUCAACCCUCCGUCAAGAUCGACGACACGCCCGAGCCCGAGGCACCCUCGGUCCAGCCCAAGGCGCCCUCGGUCCAGCCCGAGGUACCCUCGGCUCAGCCCGAGGCACCCUCAGCUCGGCCCAAGGCGCCCUCGGUUCAGCCCGAGGUACCCUCGGCCCCCGAGGGCGAGGCACUGCACGUCGAGGAGGAGCAGAACGGGGCCACGCCUGAUCGAAAUUGGCAGACCCCGUACCUGCAAUAUCUCCGCCAAGGAGAGUUACCCCUCGACCAAGCCGAGGCUCGGCGGGUAGCGCGACGCGCCAAGUCGUUCGUCUUGCUGGGCGAUGAGAAGGAGCUCUACCACCGCAGCCCCUCGGGCGUCCUCCAGCGAUGCAUCUCCAUCGCCGAAGGUCAGGAACUUCUGCAAGAGAUACACUCGGGGGCUUGCGGCCAUCACGUAGCGCCUCGAGCCCUAGUCGGGAAUGCUUUCCGGCAAGGCUUCUACUGGCCAACGGCGGUGGCUGACGCCACUAGAAUUGUCCGCACCUGCGAAGGGUGCCAAUUCUAUGCGAAGCAGACCCACCUGCCCGCUCAGGCUCUGCAGACGAUACCCAUCACCUGGCCCUUUGCUGUGUGGGGUCUGGACCUCGUCGGUCCCUUGCAGAAGGCGCCCGGGGGCUACACGCACCUGCUGGUCGCCAUCGACAAAUUCUCCAAGUGGAUCGAGGUCCGACCUCUGAACAGCAUCAGGUCCGAGCAGGCGGUGGCGUUCUUCACCAACAUCAUCCAUCGCUUCGGGGUCCCAAACUCCAUCAUCACCGACAACGGCACCCAGUUCACCGGCAGAAAAUUCUUGGACUUCUGCGAGGAUCACCACAUCUGGGUGGACUGGGCCGCCGUGGCUCAUCCCAUGUCGAAUGGGCAAGUAGAGCGUGCCAACGGCAUGAUUCUACAAGGGCUCAAGCCUCGGAUUUACAAUGACCUCAACAAGUUCGGCAAGCGAUGGAUGAAGGAACUCCCCUCGGUGGUCUGGAGCCUGAGGACAACGCCGAGCCGAGCCACGGGUUUCACGCCGUUCUUCCUGGUCUAUGGGGCCGAGGCCGUCUUGCCCACUGACCUGGAAUACGGCUCCCCGAGGACGAGGGCCUACAGCGAUCAAAGCAACCAAGUUAGCCGAGAAGACUCGCUGGACCAGCUGGAAGAGGCUCAGGACAAGGCCUUACUACACUCGGCGCGGUACCAGCAGUCCCUGCGACGCUACCACGCCCGAGGGGUCCGGCCCCGAGACCUCCAGGUGGGCGACCUGGUGCUUCGGCUGCGGCAAGACGCCCGAGGGAGGCACAAGCUCACGCCCCCCUGGGAGGGGCCAUUCAUCAUCGCCAAAGUUCUGAAGCCCGGAACGUACAAGCUGGCCAACAGUCAAGGCGAGGUCUACGGCAACGCUUGGAACAUCCAACAGCUACGUCGCUUCUACCCUUAAGAUGUUUUCAAGUUGUUCAUAUACCUCGCACCCACGCAAAGUUUAGUCAUCAAGGAAGGGUCGGUCUCGCCUCGGCAAAGCCCGACCCUCCCUCAGGGGCUAAAAGGGGGGAACCCCCUCUGCGUCGAAAUUUUCCUCGAAAAAAGAUUUCUUUUACCAGAAUAUCUUCCGUGCUUUCUGACUACUUCGAAAAGUGGAUCCUGAAAACGACGGAGUACACGUAAGCAGCCAAGGCUGACCGAGCCGAGGGACUCCUACGCCUCCGGGAUACGGAUACCUCACUCAUCACCUUCUGCGAUAAGUAACUCACGUUCGGAUAAAGUGAUUCCGCGGACCGAACAAGUCUUUACGUUCGGAAGCUCUUCUGCCGAAGCGAUCCUUCGAGCCUUCUCGACUGAGUCGGUGACAGGACCUCAUGGAUGGGUGAAAGUACGCGUAAGCGGCAAGGCCGACCGAGCCGAGGGACUCCCACGCCUCCGGGAUACGGAUACCUCACUCAUCACCUUCCGCGAGAAGCAACUCUCGCUCGCACAAACAUCCCUGUUACCGACAAAAAGUCCAGAUACUCGAAACAAGAGGAAAAGAGACGCAACUUUACAACGCAGCGAGGGUGUGUGUUCUGGCCUCGGUGGCCGCAGAAGGCACACGCUACAAGACAAUCUGAUCCUGCAGGCUCGGGUCUUCACGCUGGAAGGGGGUUGUAGCACCCUCGGCAUCGACGACACCUUCAGCGAGGUCCGACCCAGCCUCGGACGGUGACGCGGUCCAGGGACUUCUCUGGGAAUCCGGCCCGAGCAGGCGGCUCGGCCGGUUACCCCUGGGGCCUCGGCCAACCAUCUUCCAAGGGCGUCAGCUCGAUCCGAGGCCUCGGCUGAUCAACUCCGGCGUCGGUCCCGCUAACGGACAACCCGGCUAGGCUCCGGCCAACCAGGUUUUCAUUUUUGAGCCAACUCCGCCUCUGUUCGUGCUGAUAUCGCUACCCCUGGCCUCGGCUCGUCGAAGAGCGGCCAAGGGGUCUCUUUAACCAAGCUAGAGGAGCCUCAGACAACAAGGCCGAUCGAGCCGAGGGACUCCUACGCCUCCGGGAUACGGAUACCUCACUCGUCACCUUGACACGGGGCGACUCAUGCUUGGUGAAGCGGUUUAGAUAAUCGACAGGCAAGUCUUAGUGCUCGAAAAUGAGGAAAAAACACGGCUCCGUGCCAAAAUUACACACAUGUUCAGGCCUCGACAGCCAUAAUGAACAAAAACCCUGGCAUUCGAAGUGCCAUUACAAGCGGAACUCCGGUUCCCCCUCCGCAGGCACGAACAACCCCACUCCAUGGGGGAAGGCCUGCGGAGCAACGGAAGGCCGACGAGCGGCGCACCGCCACUUGCGCCACCACCGCGCCUCUUCGGUUGCGGAACCAAUGCCGCGACUCGAGGCGGCCCAGCGCACGACCCAGCGGCGCCAGCCUGGCGCGACGGUCAAUGCAGCCGAAAGUGGGCCGGUAGUAAUGACGGUGGCAGGCGGGCGGGAGUAGCGGUCACGUCGUCAGCCAAGCUCACGUCCCAUCCAGGGGCAGCAAGAGAGCCUCCUCUCACGGCGUGAAGACGACACGCCCGUGAUCCGUCCCUCGAACGGCUCGCGCACGCGCAACGGCCGCCCCGCCAACCACUCGCCCCGUCGCAUUAACUCCGCGGCGGGACAGGCGGCGCCUCUGGCAGGAGAAGCGGGCGACGCUUCGCCUUCGCCGUAAUAACCGCGCCAAAAAAGGUACGCCACGUCGUUCGAUUUCGUAUCCUUUUCCUUUUUUUCCUCUUUCUCUAUCUCUUGCAACAGGGACCGGGAAAGGGGGAUACCCCGAAAAGGAUCCUUCCCCGUGAAGGAACCAGGCUCCGAGCCCCCCUACUGAUCAGAGGUUCGAAGGCUGGCCCCCCGAGGGGUUCAACAGCCGCCUCAGAUCGCGUGGGCCCUACACCCACUACUGGUCAGAGGUUCGAAGGUCGGCCCCCCGAAGGGCUCCACGGCCGCCUCAGGCUACUCGGGCUCCGCGCCCAUUACUGAUCAGGGGUUCGAAGGCUGGCCCCCGAAGGGUUCACAGUCGCCUCAGACGCCGAGCGAGGGAUGACCAGGGGUACGUUCAAUACAUAACCAAGGCUCGGGCUGCGCUCCCGAGGUACCCUAGGACAUUUCCGAGACCAGCGGGAGCGAUCUUGUAACGGAAUCCCAUCGGAGGGAGGCAUCGAGCCCUCAGACCCCGUCGCCAGGGGACCGGGUCCGGCAGAUCACCCGCAGGUACUUUUGGGCGUGCCUCUGGCCCCUAGCCGACCCCCAACGAAUGGGGCACGGACGUCCACUCGGAUUACCCGCUUGCAGCUCACCGGAGACACCAUGUUCGGUGCCCAUCGAGGGUAACAUGGCGCUCUCCCCCCCUCCUCCUUGCGGAAAGGCGACGUAGGGGCGUAUGCAAAAAAGACGAGUCUGUCCCUGAUCGCCCUCUCGCCCUGUGCGGAGGCUCGGGGGCUGCUCUCGCAAACCCGGCUCCGGCCGAACCGUUGACAGCGUCAACAUACCAGCCCGAGAACUUGGGCCCCGACCGUGCACCUGGGCUACGGCCAGUUCGCAUGAGGGAACAACCAGACCAGCCGAAGCAUUACGCAAGGCAUUAAGACCUCGAAGGAGUGAAACCACUCCUCCGAGGCCUCGGGGGCUACACCCGGCAGGUGCGCUCGCGCGCACCCACCGGAACAAAAUGCAACCGAGAAAGGCUGGUCCCCUUGCAAAAAAGUGCGACGAAAGCCUCCAAGCGAGUGCUAACACUCCCUUCGAGGCUCGGGGGCUACUGUCGGGGACCAUAAUUAGGGGUACCCUCAAGACGCCUAAUUCUCAGCUGGUAACCCCCAUCAGCAUAAAGCUGCAGAGGCCUGAUGGGUACGAUUAAGUCAGGGAUCAGUCCAUACGAGCGACUCGAUCACGCCUCGCCCGAGCCUAGCCUCGGACAAGGGCAGCCGACCCCGAGGGAUUUCUGUCUCGCCCGAGGCCCCCAUCCAACGGCGGACACAUCUCCGGCUCGCCCGAGGCCUUGCCUUCGCUAAGAAGCAACCUUGACUAAAUCGCCGCGCCGACCGACCGAGUCGCAAGAGCAUUUAACGCAAAGGUGGCCUGACACCUUUAUCCUGACGCGCCCCCCCCCCCAGCAGAGCCGAAGUGACCGCCGUCACUUCGCCGCUCCACUGACCGGUCUGACAGAAGGACAGCGCCGCCUGCGCCACUCCGACUGUAGUGCCACUUGACAGAGUGAGACUGACAGGCAGUCAGGCCCUGCCAAAGGCACCAUAGGAAACUCCGCUCCGCCCGACCCAGGGCUCGGACUCGGGCUAAGCCCCAGAAGACGGCGAACUCCGCUCCGCCCGACCCAGGGCUCGGACUCGGGCUAAGCCCCAGAAGACGGCGAACUCCGCUCCGCCCGACCCAGGGCUCGGACUCGAGCUAAGCCCCGGAAGACGGCGAACUCCGCUUCGCCCGACCUAGGGCUCGGACUCGGGCUAAGCCCCGGAAGACGGCGAACUCCGCUCCGCCCGACCCAGGGCUCAGACUCGGGCUCAGCCCCAGAAGACGACGAACUCCGCUUCACCUGACCCCAGGGCUCGGACUCCGCCCUGGCCUCUGCCGAACGACCUCCGCCUCGCCCGACCCAGGGGCUCGGACUCGGCCUCGGCCACGGAAGACAGACUCAACCCCGGCUUCGGAGGAGCCCCCACGUCGCCCGACCUCGGGCGCGGGCCCGCCACGUCAACAGGAAGCGCCAUCAUCACCCUACCCCGAGCCGACUCGGGCCGCAGAGAACAAGACCGGUGUCCCAUCUGGCUAGCUCCGCCAGAUAGGCAAUGAUGGCGCCCCGCGUGCCCUGUGACGACGGUGGCUCUCAGCUCUCUUACGGAAGCAGGAGGACGUCAGCAAGGACUCGACCGCUCCGACAGUUGUCCCUCCGCCAGGCUCCGCCGCUCCUCUGACGGCCACGACAUCACACCAACUGGGCGCCAAGAUCUCUCCGGCUGCCACAUCGGCAUGUACUUAGGGCGCUAGCUCUCCCCCGCUAGACACGUAACACUCUGCUACACCCCCAUUGUACACCUGGAUCCUCUCCUUACGCCUAUAAAAGGAAGGACCAGGGCCUUCUUAGAGAAGGUUGGCCGCGCGGGGACGAGGACGAGACAGGCGCUCUCUUGGGGCCGCUCGCUUCCCUCACCCGCGUGGACGCUUGUAACCCCCUACUGCAAGCGCACCCGACCUAGGUGCGGGACGAACACGAAGGCCGUGGGAUUUCCACCUCACUCACGCCCGUCUCCGGCCACCUCGCUUCCCCCCUUCGCGCUCGCCCACGCGCUUGACCCAUCUGGGCUGGGGCACGCGGCACACUCACUCGUCGGCUUAGGGACCCCCGGUCUCGAAACGCCGACAAUAGUGAUAUUUGUCGUUCUGUUUAUUUGUUUCAUACAAAUUUUUUACUUCCGUAGCAACGCACGGGCACUCACCUAGUAAUACAUAUAUAGACGUUAAUUUUAUAUACAAUACAACCCAAAAAAUCUAAUAAUAUAUUUUAAAUUUAACGUAUUUAAAAUUGUUAUUGAGGAACAAUGCAGACUAAAAUAACAAUGUAUUUGUACUUCUAGAUCUAAUAUGAUUAUCUUAAGAAAUAAUAGAACUUCGUCAUGUCCAUUGCUAGAAAGAUACUUCUUCCAUUUUUAAUGCAAAAUUAUUAAGGACGAUAUUAAAAUCAACGGUGUUUAACAUAUCCUUCUAGAUAGUGUAUAUAGCCAAUCCAUUUAACUUUUAUUGUGACAUAGUUGAUCUCAAAUAGUUUUUCAACAACUUUAAUUUUAAGAAACUUCUUUUAGCCAAAGCUACAGUCGCGGGUAAAGAGGACUCGAUAGGUGAAUAAGACAUUUGGUAGCAAUCUACAACAUAACAAAUUUCAAAAUCUUAGACGCUCACAUCUAAGAAUAUGGGUUGCCAAACUCUGACAUGAUUGGUGCAAGGGUAUUGGAUGAUAGACUCAGCAAUAGAAAACUAAUUAGCCAUGCGACAAUAUAGGCUCCAUGGGUCGUGUAUCUGUAUUUAUAUAUUAUUUGGCUAGAACUAAUUAUGAAGUGCUUAGCACUUCAAUUCUUAGGACUAUAAAAUAGACAUCUCAUGAUAUCAAUAAACAAAAGGCAAACAUUCACCCAACAAUGUGUGCUUCUCAUCUCUCUGGCACAUCGUCACCUCUGUAGGAAACGGGUGACGCCUAAGAGGGGGGGUGAAUUAGGACUUCUAAAACUUUCGCUAAACUAGGCCACAAUUAAAUCCCUAGAGCAAAACCUAUGCAAAUAGUCAAACUAGAAUGAGCAAACUAGGUUUUGUCUAAGUGUUGCUAUCUCUACCGCAAAGGCUAAGUUUCAAUCUACACUAGAUAUGUAUGAAUACAAGAUUGAAACUUAAAUGCUUAAUAUAAAUGCGGAAUGUAAAGAGCUAAGUAGAGAAGCAAACUCUCGUGGAUGACGCCGGUAUUUUUACCGAGGUAUCCGGAACCAUGCAAGGUCCCGACUAAUCCUCGUUGGUGCCCCUACGCAAAGGGAAGCCCACGCGAGGGCCAAGCACCACGGUCGAGUAACUCCGUAGAGAGCCACGGGCCUUCUCCACGCGCAAGUGGUGCUCCGCUUCCGGCUCCUCUCGGACGCUCCCCGCCGUCUCCACUAUCGAGCUUCCGGCCGAAACGUCGCGGGCCUCGUUCCCUCCGGUACACGGUGGCGGCCGUGACACAAACGCGGUUGUCACGGUCUCGCAAGACUCUCGCCCCACUCGGUACAAUUACAACGACUCACACAAGAGCCGAGGGGUUGUGUGGUUUUACAAAACUCACUCAACUAACUAGGGUUCACCUAGAGCAAGCGCUAAAGCGGUCUAACUAACCUAAGCACUUCUCCUACGCUAAUCACCGAGUGAUUCUAUUAAGCACUUGGGUGUUUGAGCUCUUGGAAAUAUGCACUAUGUGUCUUGGUAUGUUGCUUGGGCUCUCACACAUGAGAAUGGCCGGUUGGGGUGGUAUUUAUAGCCUCCACACCCCAAACUAGCCGUUGGACAGAAAGCAACAGCUUUCUGUCGUCGGGUGCACCGGACAGUCCGGUGCACCACCGGACACUGCACAGUGGAUGUCCGGUGCACGCCACGUCAGCCGACCGUUGGCGCCUGUAGCAGUCGACCGUUGGAUCCGACCGUUGUCGUCUGCCCAUGGCACACCGGACAGUCCGGUGCACACCGGACAGUCCGGUGCUACAGCCAGAGAGCGCCUGCUGCGGCCUCUCUGCGCAGACUGUCCGGUGCCACACCGGACAGUCCGGUGCACACCGGACAUCAAUGUCCGGUGCUCCACCCGGCGCUGGCUGACAGCCCACUUCUUGGAUUUCUUCACUGAUUUCUUCGGGCUUCUUUUGUUCUUGAGUAUUGGACUCCUAUGCAUCUUUUUAUGUCUUCUUUUGAGGUGUUGCAUCCUCAUUGCCUUGGUCCAAUUCUCUUCACAUCCUGUGAACUACAAACACAAACACUAGAAAACUUAUUAGUUCACGGAUUGUGUUGUUCAUCAAACACCAAAACUCAAUUAGCCAAAUGGCCCGGGGUCCAUUUUCCUUACAAUCUCCCCCUUUUUGGUGAUUGAUGACAACACAACCAAAGCAAGCAAAUAUUACAAGUAUUUGAAUGAAAAUAUGCAUUUUACUUGCUAAGAUGCAUGAUUGUCCCCACAAUGUGAUAUUAUGGACUUAAGCCUCCCCCUAACUCCAUAAUUCACUUACUUCCUAUUUUUGGACCAAAUAACCAAAACCACUUGAAAAGCCAUUUGUAGAUAUAAAAUUUUAAAUUGGUGGUGUUUGGUGUUUGAUAAAGUUCAUUGCUUUGGUCCCUAAACUUCUCCCCCUUUGGCAUCAACCACCGAAAAGGAAGACAUUAAAAGCAUGUAGGAAGUAAAUAAAAGCUUGCCCUCAACAAGAAUUGUAUCAAAUGAUAUCACUAGAAGGAUAUUAAAAUAAACCAUAUGAAUGAUACCAAUUGAAAGGAACUCCCCCUAAAUGAGUGUUCUCUUUAGAAAGAAGUUUCUCCCCCUUUUUUAGAGAUGAAGAAAUACUCCCCCUGACAGAGAUCCUCUACUUAGGAAAAAGCAUGUGAAAAAUUAGAGGUGCAAGACAUGGUUUGAAAAGACUAACUUCCCUUAUGCAUAGGUAUAUAGUCUAAUCAAAUAUUGGAGAAGACAUGUAAAUGAUACUGAAUGUAGUCUCAAAAGAUACCAAUUGAAGAUCAAUGGCGAGCUUGAGAGACAUGAGAGUUCUUGGAGAUUUUGCAGUGGAAGAUUGUUGUCUUUCUCCGGGGACUUCAUUUUCCUUACAAUGAGACUAUCACAUGAAAUAGACUUGAAAAUGUGUUAGUCUCAAAGUGUUAGAUUAUAGAGUAACCUCCCCCUAAAGGUGUGCAUACAAGUUUUGAAUACUUGUAGGAGACAUGCACUUUGAUUUGAUAUCAAGAGGGGCAAAUUAUCCAUAAUCCAAACUUUGGCACAUAUAAGUUAAAUGAUACACUUUGUAGAAAUCAAAAUUUUCAAUUGAUGCAUCAUUUACUAUGGAGUGAUAUAAAAGCUAUGUGUCGUGCUUUAACUAAACAUUUUAAGCCAUGUAGGUUUGCUUAAGUAUAUGAAUUUAAAAACUAGCAAUCCUACCAUAUGAUUUACCUAGUAUGCAUGAUUUUGAACAAAAGUACAUAACAAAUGUAAUACUAGGCAAGAAAGGUAACCUAGAUAAAAGAUAAAUAGAUACGCAUAUCUAAAAACGAGAAAUACAAUAAAACUAGUUACCUUAGUCAUGGGUGGAAAAUUUGGGUCCAAAAUUUUCACUAACCCACUUGGCAAUAAACUUGAUCCAAUAUGAUGUAUCCCAUGAUAUACAUCCCAAUUUAGCCAAGUCUCCAAAUUUCCCGAAGACCUUUGGUCCACUCACUUCCCUUUCGGGAUCCAAACCUUCUUGGUGCUUUUCAUGGUUGAAAUUAUCUCCUUUGGCACCCAGAUGUGUUUGGCCCCCUUUCCUUUGUUGGCUUGCUUGUUGGCCUUGAUUGCUAUCACCUUUCCGUUCUUUUUCUUCUUGAUCAAAUAUGGUGUAGCAUCCUUUUUGUUCACCUUUUUGAUGUAGGUGUUUGAGAUUUUGCUUGAUGGCUUUUGCUUGAGCUUUUGUCUUUGUUUAUCCCCGGUCAUCGCCUUGCAUUGGAAAGACUUGUGGCCUUCCUUGUGGCAUAGCCUACAAAUCACAGUUUCUCCCUCCAUAGGCUUGUUCACUCCCGCAGUGGUGUUAUCCUGUGGAGGUUGGAUUUGUUUGGCUUUGCCUUUCUUGUCAUACAAAGCCUUGCCAAGGCGAGCCACUUCUUGCUUUAAUUGUUCAUUUUCCUUUGCAACCUCAUCCGUACAUGUCUCUACAACAAUAUUCUCAACAACGACUUGGUUGCAAGGGUUAGAAUCAUCAAUUAAAUCAAAGCAGGAAGUAGAAGCAUCUUUCUUAAUUAUUUCAGGUAUUUCAACUAAAGAUGCUGCUGGGGUGCUACCAAUGUUUUCUAGCUUAGUAGUUAGCUCAUUGUUGUGUAUGCUAAGAAUUUCCAUUUUCUCUAGCAAAUUUUCAAUAGCUUCUUGGGAGCUAGCUAACUUAGCCUUAAGUUUUUCAUUCUUUUUAAUAAGGCUAUCCUCGGUAGCAGUGGAUGGAGCACUAGAUUCUAAUAGCUCAAUUUUAGUUGAUAGCUCACUAUUUAAGUUUGCAAAAGUUUCAAAUUUUUCUAGCAAACCUUUGUAAUCAUUUUGAGAGCUAACCAACUUAUUUUUCAAAGUUUUAAGUUGAGCUUUUUGCUUAGUGCAAACAUCCUGGAAAAAUUCUACGGCUUCCGCAAGCUCAUCUAGAGAGGGCUUUCCCUCACCUUCAUCAUCACUACUACUUUCAUCACUAGAGGAUGGAAUGCUUUUGUUACCUCUUGUCAUAAGACAUUUGUGUGAUGACCGUGAUGAUCGUGACGAGGACCGGUGGCUGCGCGUCCUUGGAGGUUCAUCUUCACUUGAAGAAUCAUCCCAAGUUCUAACACUUGUUAGCGCCUUGCCUUUGCUCCUCUCCUUUUUGGGCUUGGCCAUAUUUGGACAGUUGUCCCUGAAGUGGCCCUUCUCCCCACAUGCGAAGCAUCCUCUCUUCCUUUGCUUUUUCCUGUCAAUGUUAAAGAGAAGAUCCUCGACCUGCAGGGGCACACCCAUUAGAUUAAUCUUGCGGAUCAUCCUCAUUACCUUUCCGACGCGUCGGAUUGUUUCUUCGUCCUCGGAGGAUGAUGUGCAUGGUUGAUUAUCUUCAUCAUCAUCACUUUCUUCUUCUUCCUCUUCUUCACUUGAGGAACUUGGAGUGGGAGCCUUCUUUUUGCCCUUCCUUUCAUCACAUGCAAAAGCAUAUGGCCUUGAGGAAGUUGGCUCCUCUCCUCGACUCAUUUUUCGCGACAUCUCAAAGGCCGCGAUUUUCCCAAUCACAAUGGUCGGGGUCAUGUUGCUCAAAUCCUCCAUGUUGUGAAGGAUGGUGAUGAUGCUCCCAUAUCUUUGUUGUGGUAGCAGGGAGAUAAUCUUCCUCACAAUGUCCGCAUCGCCUAGCUUAUUAAUGCCAAUAGAGUUGAGCUCAUUGAUUAUUAGAUUCAAACGAGAAUACAUGUCUCUAACAAGCUCAUCAUCUUUCAUAGCAAAAGAAUUAUACUCAUUUAAGACUAGGUAAUGUUUUUGCUCACGGACAUUGGAUGUGCCGUCAUGGAGCUCAUGCAAUUUUAGCCAAAUCUCAUUAGCAGUUUUCAAGGUAAAUACUUGGUUAAAAAUAUCCAUGCUAAGAGAUUCAUACAAGCAAUUUUUGGCUCUAGCAUUUAAAUGGAUUUCUUUUUCCUCACUCGUGGUGGGUUUCUCGGGAUUCUUGAGGGGUUUCAUCCCGUCACGAGUGACUCUCCAAACACCUAGAUCAACGGCCUCUAGGUAACAAGCCAUUCUAGCACUAUAAUAUGGGAAGUUAGUGCCGUCGAAGUGUGGUGGCCUAUGGGUAUCCAUCCCUUCCUCUAAAAAGUGUCGGCUCUUUUAGCGGUGAAGCUAAAACGUUUCAAAUGAGCCAAACCGGGCUCUGAUACCACUUGUAGGAAACGGGUGACGCCUAAGAGGGGGGGUGAAUUAGGACUUCUAAAACUUUCGCUAAACUAGGCCACAAUUAAAUCCCUAGAGCAAAACCUAUGCAAAUAGUCAAACUAGAAUGAGCAAACUAGGUUUUGUCUAAGUGUUGCUAUCUCUACCGCAAAGGCUAAGUUUCAAUCUACACUAGAUAUGUAUGAAUACAAGAUUGAAACUUAAAUGCUUAAUAUAAAUGCGGAAUGUAAAGAGCUAAGUAGAGAAGCAAACUCUCGUGGAUGACGCCGGUAUUUUUACCGAGGUAUCCGGAACCAUGCAAGGUCCCGACUAAUCCUCGUUGGUGCCCCUACGCAAAGGGAAGCCCACGCGAGGGCCAAGCACCACGGUCGAGUAACUCCGUAGAGAGCCACGGGCCUUCUCCACGCGCAAGUGGUGCUCCGCUUCCGGCUCCUCUCGGACGCUCCCCGCCGUCUCCACUAUCGAGCUUCCGGCCGAAACGCCGCGGGCCUCGUUCCCUCCGGUACACGGUGGCGGCCGUGACACAAACGCGGUUGUCACGGUCUUGCAAGACUCUCGCCCCACUCGGUACAAUUACAACGACUCACACAAGAGCCGAGGGGUUGUGUGGUUUUACAAAACUCACUCAACUAACUAGGGUUCACCUAGAGCAAGCGCUAAAGCGGUCUAACUAACCUAAGCACUUCGCCUACGCUAAUCACCGAGUGAUUCUAUUAAGCACUUGGGUGUUUGAGCUCUUGGAAAUAUGCACUAUGUGUCUUGGUAUGUUGCUUGGGCUCUCACACAUGAGAAUGGCCGGUUGGGGUGGUAUUUAUAGCCUCCACACCCCAAACUAGCCGUUGGACAGAAAGCAGCAGCUUUCUGUCGUCGGGUGCACCGAACAGUCCGGUGCACCACCGGACACUGCACAGUGGAUGUCCGGUGCACGCCACGUCAGCCGACCGUUGGCGCCUGUAGCAGUCGACCGUUGGAUCCGACCGUUGCCGUCUGCCCAUGGCACACCGGACAGUCCGGUGCACACCGGACAGUCCGGUGCUACAGCCAGAGAGCGCCUGCUGCGGCCUCUCUGCGCAGACUGUCCGGUGCCACACCGGACAGUCCGGUGCACACCGGACAUCAAUGUCCGGUGCUCCACCCGGCGCUGGCUGACAGCCCACUUCUUGGAUUUCUUCACUGAUUUCUUCGGGCUUCUUUUGUUCUUGAGUAUUGGACUCCUAUGCAUCUUUUUAUGUCUUCUUUUGAGGUGUUGCAUCCUCAUUGCCUUGGUCCAAUUCUCUUCGCAUCCUGUGAACUACAAACACAAACACUAGAAAACUUAUUAGUUCACGGAUUGUGUUGUUCAUCAAACACCAAAACUCAAUUAGCCAAAUGGCCCGGGGUCCAUUUUCCUUACAACCUCUUUUUCUAAGUGUUCCACAAGGUAAGCGCCAUGUUGUCCUGAUAUGGUCUCUAGCAGAUUGCAUCAGGGCAGUACGAUAUAUCACCUUACCCUCAGUAGAUUUUGUACUAAGUGUUUUUAUUGGCAAGAUCUAUUAGUUAUUUUGCAUAGCCUCAAUCUACUUGAAUUUUAUUGUUUAAGCUUCAUGUCAUGGUUGAUACAUUCCAUGAUAUGCGACUGCAAUAUGUGCAUACAACAACUUGAGAGUUUGAUACGCAUCUGGCACCCUACAUUACAUGCUCUAGUCGCGUUAUUUAGUUUGGAUAGACUUCUUUGGAGGUCCUGAUCCAUGUGUCAUGCAUGGCUGCAUAUGUUUCUAGGGUUGUUAGUAUGAUACAUACUAUAGAUCAGGUCUAGAAUGUUCAUAUAAAUAACUUGUUGUUUAUUUGGCCUUGGUUUCAGUUUAUGGUGUGGGUAGUUCUGAUGGUUUUUGGCUCGUUACUGUGCCUUUAGCUGUACGUGUGGCACGCGUCGCUCUAGGACCAGUAAUGUUUUAAAACAUGCUCUAGUCAGAUUUUUUCUCUUUUCGAUAGUUACCAAUGGAUGUUUACAUUUAUUUACUUAUUCUUUAUCAACCUGGAAAAGAUGAGGCCAUGCUCUGCAGAGUGCAUAUAUUAUUGUGUGAGACAUAGUUUUGCACUAUAAACUGCACUAUUUAUACAAUGUAGUUUGAAAUAGAGAGUGGAAUAGGGGUGAGAAGGAAGGUUGCUGGAGAGAGCCUGGCAAUCAGCUUAAGAGAGUCGAUCAGUGCAACUAGCAUGGGCCGAUCCACACGAUAUGGCCAAAAUUUGACGUUUAACUUGUUGUUGUGUAUUUGCAGAGCGAUUUACCAACCACCAAGAACCCCUAUGUGAUUGACAGUCUAAGGUUGUCCGUAGCGCUCGUCGCGCGGCCACCCCUCCCCUUGCAUGGAUUGCCCCCACGCCCGCAACGUAGCCCCCUGCCAGGCCCUCCCUCAGGAGAAAGUGAACAGGAAGUCGCCACAGGUAGCGUGAACACGCUGGAUCCUCUUUCAUUGUUCAUAUGUACUUUAGUUUUUUAAUAGAUGAAGAAAAAAUGUAAUAGAUGAUGAAUAGGGUUGGAUAAUGAUAUUUUAUAGUUAUAGUGGGUAUAGGGGGAACCACCGUGAAAGAUAAAAAUAUAGAGAAUGAAAUGUUGGUGUAACGCAAAAAGUGAUAUAGGAAGAAAAAUUUGGAAUUAACCGAUAGUCUAAAGCAGCUAACACACUUAGAACACUCACUAUCUCUAGCAGUAGGGGUCGCUAGCGCCUCGCUGAUCGCCGCCCCUGCCCUGCGGAGCGGCGGCACGAUGCGGGCAGGGACGACUGUGCCCUAUAAUGUCGGAUACCAUAUAAUUUGCCACCAUGUUGGCAUAAUUUUGCUAUACCAUAUAUAUAAUUUGCUAUUUUCUGUUUGCAUACAACAUACAUCACCAUACACUGUUCAGACUAUCCUAAACCAUAAAUUACACAUGAUACUGAAAUCAUUGGCUCAUGAUGCAAAUCAUCAUACGCUGUUGAGGCUAUCCUCAACCAUAAAUUAACACGAAACAGAAACCACUGGCUGACGAGUUAAAAACAGGUGUGAGAAAUACUCACCGUUUAUGAUUGCUAUAAGAAACAGAAAAUUAUUUUUUGUGUCGUGUAUUUGUGGUCGUCCAUGAUUUUAUAGUAUACGAUGUAUUCUUAUAAUAGAGUGUUGAUGCUAAUUUGACACGCCGGCGAGGACAACACUGCCGCAUCGAAAGCCUGAUUCGGCCGUCGAUCGUUCCCAUCAUAGUAGGUCGGACAUUUUAUUUUGUUGCUUGCCAAUUCAUCAAUGGUUAUUAUGGUAACAUAGAGUUGUUUGGUUGCAGAGAAUAAAGUUUAGCUUGUGUCACAUCGAAUAUUGAAAUUUCUAUUAUAUGUAUUAAAUAUAGUCUAAUAAUAAAAUCAAUUGCACAACUGAAGACGAGAAGACGAGACAAAUCUAUUAAACCUAAUUAAUCUAUAAUUAACAAAUAUUUAUAGUAACAUCAUAUGAGCAAAUAAUGGACUAAUCUCUACUAUACUUAAAACACCAGUUUCAACGAUCGUCCUACGUCAUUUUUUUAUAAAAAAAAUCGUUAUAUUUCUUUCAAAUCAACUCAACGUAAAAUAUUAAAAAGUGGUGCAGUAGGUGAGGUUUGAACCCACACCCUGAUGGAAGAAGGGUGGAAGACACUAGUUCAUUAAAAACGUAGUGUUCAUAGUGUAAAAUAUUUGUUUCAUAGCUAAUUUCACUAAUAAUUUUUAGCCAACGAACUGAACAGGUGACUGUGAGGUAGCCAGUGUCAGUGGCUAUAGUUCAUUAAAAACGUAGUGUUCUGUCCACAUGGUUUUUAUCAAGUCCUACGUACGUUAUAAUCUGCAGAUAAUGUGGGUUUUAGGCUUACGCGAAACGCAAUAAAACUUGCAAAGAACAAAAAGACAACCAUGGCAUCUACACAAAUUUAAGUGCGGAGCUCACACAUGGUUAUAUGGUUCAUAUCAUAGCAACAGCAAGAAAUCCCAUCUGUAUACUUCUCUACCUAAAAACACGAACUCUCUCUGCUCCAACAACUGUACAACCCUCCAAAUUCAACAGAUAAAAGAGAGAUGGUGUAAAAAAAAGAAUAGCUGCACUAUUUCUUUCGACAAUGUGUGCUUGAUCUUGACAUGAAUAACACACUAGACACUUUUUUCCUGAACGGAAUAGCAUGAGCACUUCGUUCGACGUACCAUUUACAUCUAUUUCACAUGUCCGGAUCAAGGUAUACAAGCCAUACAAAACACCUAGAAUCAAGAAAAGAAAAAGGCUAUAUCAGACAGUAGUGUUAGCAGUAAAGUACGAGUUGAUGGUCUAUGCCAGGAGUCAGGGCACUGACCGAUCCAUCUCACAAUGCAUCUGCACCCUUACCACCUCUCUUGCUAACCACCUCGCAGAGUCGGCAAGGCAGCGUGUCAAGGCUCAUCUCGCGUGCCCUGCCGAAGUUACCCAACGCACCACAACGCCUCCACGCGUGGUAUUCAGCGUAGGCUACGGGGUCAUUUGCCAGCGUCUUCACAUACGAUGCCAGCUUUCUGAGUGAACUGAAUUUGGAGGCGUCUAUGAUAGAAUUAGGAGGGACGAAAUCCCAGACAUUGGGCGCCCCAAAGUAUAUCGGCACCGACCCAGCCUCCAAAGCGUAGAACAGCUUCUCGGUCACGUAGCUUUCGGUCUUGGUGUUCUCGAUUGCAAGAACGAACUUGUAAUGUGACAUCGCACAGUGUAGGUGAUCCCACCAGUGUGGCGUGCCGUUAUCGUUGGUGGAGCAGACUGGAUACAUGGAUAGCGCCAUGUCAGGACCGCCGACAUUGUUCAAACAUCUUCCGAAGGAAUGGUGAGGAACCAGCGAGAGGAAGUCUUUUGCGAGCUUAUCUCUAUGAGGAAGACACCUUGAAGAUGACCAGUAGAUAAGUGCAUCCUGGUACAGACAAGAAAUCAGCAGUUAAGGAGAUUAAAACCACAACUGAGUAUUACUACAGCGGAACUACUGCCUAUAGUUGAAACUGUACAACAUUGAUAUAGCAUUACAGCAGAAGGUAUGCACAAUUUCAUCUCUGACAGCAAAAACACAAAUUACACACAAGUGAAAAGAUUUGAUGUUGCUAACUGUUAAUCAUGGCACAUGACCACUAUUAUUUACAUGUAGAACCAUUUGACCCUAUCUUGUGAUCACUCUGGUAAGAAUACAUUAAGAUCAUCUAUGCCAUGUAAGGAUGUCCAGCCAUGCUUUUACAUUUUGUAUCAAUUCUAUUCCAAAUAAUGAUGGAAAUUGGAAAGCGACCAAAGAAUGAUAUAAUUAUGUGACAUACUCAUGCCAAGAGAAACGUAGUUGGAGUGAGUAUCAAAUUGAUCAGGCAUGCAAAAUGUUGCCUUGAUAUCAUUUGGCAUUUAUAUUUGAGACUUUAGACUUACGUUUCUCUUUUCAGUUGAUAUAUGGUAACUUCGGCUGGUGUGAAAUGAUUUUCCAGCAUAUGUUACUUGCACAUCAUCACUGGCAUGGUAACCGACAAAAAUGUCCUCAAAACCAGUUGGCUUCCUACUGGCCUCCAGAUCCAGGUAAACACGAAGAGGCAAACCUUUCAUUCUCUGCAAAACAUAUUACAGAACAUUUGAAAUGAAAAUGGAUAUAGAUGAAUAGCAAUUGAGAAUACAAGAAAUUAUUAUCAAAAGAAUUGAGUGUUGGAUCCAUAGGUAAUCGAUGAAAGCUGGCAAAGUUUGCACAGUCGUAGCUACGCCACCAAGGCACCAACCAAAUGCCUAGGUACCAAAUGACCAAUCAGAACAGCACAAUUAACUGACAGAACAUUCAGCACUAGUAGUGUAAGGUUCUGUUUGAAUCAGCUAAACUUUCUAUAAGAGCAAGUAUAAUAAGGGGCUAUAAGCUGGCUAAAUGUUGAGGUGGAUGAGACGAGAAGCGGGCUGUAAACUUACAGCCGGCUUAGACAUAAGAACUAAGAAAAAUUGUGAGAGAUAUAAGUGGGGUCUUGCAUUAAUAGUGAAGAGCUAACUACUAUACGGAUGGACAAAAUGGUAGGCUGCAAGGAUACUUACAGGUGGCAGGAGGCCGUAUUAUCAAACUUGCUCUAAGCUGCAAUAGCUGGAGAAAACCGGCUCAUAACUUUUUAUAAGCUGGGCCAUUGAAUAGUUCAAACUGGUUAUAAGUUGGACUAUAAGCUGAGCUUUUUGGAUCAGCUAGAGCUCUUUUUCAACAGCUAGAGCUAGCAAGCUAUUUUAGUCAAUCCAAACAGGAUGUAAGUAAGGUGCAAUGGAAAAGGAGGCAAGCAAUCUACAACACAGUUAUUAGGACCGGACCAGAGAUCGAACAGUUUGCAGACCAGGGCAACAUAUCUAGUUUUCCAGAAUUAUGUUGGGCCCUUCGAAUGCGUUGGCUCUGGCUGCAGAAGACUGAUCCUACUCGCCCUUGGUCUGAUCUCCACAUAAAAGUUCCUGGAAAAGCUAGAGCUUUCUUCAUGGAGGUGGUCAUUACUGAGGUGGGAGAUGGCACAAAUACAAAGUUUUGAAAGGAUAAGUGGUUAUAUGGUAAGCGAAUUAAAGACCUUACUCCAAGUUUAUAUAAUAUUAUACCCAAGAGGAUUAUCAAUAGCAGGACAGUUUAUGAGGCAAUUACAGAUAGAAAAUGGAUCUCUGAUAUUAAAGGUCCACAGACAGUGGGAGUCUUAACAGAUUUUCUUCAGUUGUGGGAUAUGACUUCAGUUUGGCAGCUGCAGCCUGAGGUUGAGGAUAAACAUGUUUUCAGUAUUGCUCCUAAUGGCAUCUAUUCAGCAAAGAUUGCUUACGAGGGCUUCUUUUUGGGGUCUGUAAUUUUCCCUCAUCACAAGAAAAUUUGGAAAACUUGGACCUUGCCAAAAUGUCGUUUCUUCAUCUAGCUGGUUGCACAAAAUCGUCUCUGGACAGCGGAUAGACUUGCUAAAAGAGGGAUGAGUCAUCCUGAGAAGUGCCCCUUUUGUGAUCAAGAAGAUGAAACUAUUGAUCAUCUCCUUGUUACCUGUUCCUUCUCCAGGGAAUUCUGGUACCUGUUGUUAAGGAAUUUCGGUCUGCAUUCUUUGGCUCCUCAACCUGAUGUUGGCUCAUAUCUAGGCUGGUGGGAAUCGGUGGGGAAUAUUGCUACUGGGCUCACUAGAAAAGGGCUUGAUUCCCUUAUCAUUCUGGGAGCAUGGACCUUGUGGAAACAUAGAAACAAAUGCGUUUUUGAUGGCUGCAACCCCAGAGUUACCAUGAGUCUUAGAGCUGCUAAUGAGGAAAGGAUGCAAUGGGAGAUUGCUGGUGCCAAGGGGCUCUGCCAUCUAGUUGUACCUUUAGCUGAGACCUAAGGAGGGUCUAAUGGAUAUUUUUAUGUAUGCUUCUUACUGGCCUCCGUAAGGAGGCUGUUUUGUACUGGCCUUUCUUGGCCUCCUUUUUCCACUUCUUAAUAUAUUAUGGGGCGCAGUUCUCCUGCGCUUUCGAGAAAAAAAAAGGAAGAAAUUUCUUUGGUUUCACCGAUUUAGUCCAACAAACAAUGGAACCAUUAUUCUUUAGGAGAUUUUGGACCAGGAAUGCAUCCCUCAUUUCAACAAGAAACCUAAUACCCACUCCAAAAAAAAUCUUCCAGAAUAGCAUUAUCAAGCAUACACAUGGCAUUUCAGAAACAUCUUGUAACCUAACAUUUUGAAAAAGGAGAAACAAGCCACGCAUCCACGUUAGGUAGGUACUCCUACCUCUCUCACCAAACAGAAAUGGAUUUUUUUGGCAUACCAGUUCUCUUGUUCCACCACACAAGCAUUACUGAGCAAGGAUCAGAAUUCAUAGCCAAUUCGAUCUCUCUUGAGGUACCCCAAAAUCUAUCAGUUCAUUAUAACAACAUAAAAGGUGAUAAUCUCAUAUCGACAGAACAAUAAAAGAGGGAAAGAAGUCCGGUACCUGCGGCGGAGGCGUGGCGCCCUCAAAGAGCAGCGCGUCGGGACGGUCGACGGCGGCGGCAGACUUGCUCCAGACGCAGCUAACCCCGCAGCGGCAGGUGUAGACGCCGUCGAGCGCGUCAGGGAUCCAGGUCCAGCCCUUGACGAGCACCCCGACGUGGCGCGCUGCCAGGUCCUCGCACCUCGCGGCUCCGCGCCACGCGGCGCCGCCGCUGACGGACGCCGCCGCAGGGUCCUCCGCGGUGCCGUUAGCGCUGGCGCUGGCGCUCGCACUCGGCAGCGGCAGGCCCGGGCCCAGCCCCAGCCCCGCGGCGGCGAGCUUGGCGCGGACGCGGGGGCAGCCGACGGCGGCGUCCCAGGACGCGAAGGCCUCGAGGAGCGAGGUGAAGGGGUCGCGGUCGCGCGAUCCGACGGAGUCGAGCGCGGUGGGGAAGCGCGCUGCGCCCGCGAGGAGCGGCGCCGGGGUGGAGAUGGAGGGGAGCUCGAAGUAGCCCGAGAGGAGGAGGAGCAGGAUGGCGGCGGAGGCGAGCAUCGGGGCCACGUAGUUGAUGCGCUUCGGGAAGAGCAUCGGGGGUGGGCAGGGCACUUCGCGACCCUCCGCCCGCCGCGCCCGAUCGCCGGAGCGCGAGAUCUCUCGAGGAGAGGGAGCGGGGGAGACGCUGGCAGGCAGUGGGACGGGACGGGUCGGUGGUAGAAUGGGAAUGGGGGGCUUGUGCGCAAAACUGUCCGGGCCCUUCCGUUUCGUCUUCGGCGGGCGGAUGCGUGCGUUGUUGUUUACCCACUGACUUGUGUCGUCGAUAUCGUAUCGUGUAUCCAAAUUCCAAAUUCAACUGCUGGUUCUUCUUCUUCUUGUUUUUUUAUUGGAAGAGAACAUAUCUAGUGCAAAUAGAAGUUUAGUGCACAUGGUGCACAUAUUAAAUUAUCACCACUUAUAUUAGAUUUAACGUCUCUACUUGAUAAUUUUAAUUUACAAAUAACACCUUCCACCAUUACACCCCACCACGUUAGAGGGUGUCUUAGCAAAAUAUACCAAGCGAAUAGAGACGUUAGAUCUAAGAUAAGUGGUGAUGAUUUAAUAUGUGCACCAUGUGCACUAAACAUCCAUGUGCACAAGAUAUGUUUUCUAAUUUGAAACCUCCUUUUCUUCUUUUUCUUGUUAAUUCAGAAAGUGACUAUUCUUUUUCUUAGACUUUGACUUCCCUAUAUAAAAAUGGUCGAGGUUGAUAGAUUGAUUACAGAUGUACAGGUUUUCGCUUCCAUUUGUCAUUUCGCAAACAGCCAAACAUGAUCACGCAAGUUCUAAGGUUUUGCAAGCAAAGAAAAAGAAAAGAUACUGACUACUAUCAGGGCCGUUCCUGACUUUUGGGCUGACAUGACAAAAACACAUAUUUUAUGGAUUACUUAUAUAAGUUUGCGGUGGUAAUUUACAUAUGAUAUCUUGAUUUAUUUCAAAAAUGAGGAGAGCCAUGAGCAACAUUUAAGGCUUAUACCGUAGAGGCUCAGAGAUCACUAGCAGUAUGUAAAGUUAAGCAAGCGUAAGUUUUGCAUCCAUGAGACAUUGUUUCUUGGACAUGUAAUCUCUAACGGAGUGAGAGUGGAUCCAAGCAAGGUGGCUGAUGUUCUAUAAUCCAAGCAAGCACAGAAGGUUUAUAUAUGCUAGGAUUUUUCAGGAAAGCCAGGCCGAUGACUGAUUUGCUAGAAAAUAAUAUACAAUGUUUGUGUGGCCCCUUCCAUUGCUAGCAAAGCAUGGUGGGGUGAUCCAUGGAUCCUUGAUCUUGUCUGUCAGUGAGUGAGUGGCAGAAUCCCAGACGGAGGUCAACAAAUCGCAGAGAUCGUAUCGUAAUUCGUAACCAAAGGAAAGUGCGGACUAGCUGCGUAGUGCGAAAGUUCAACAGUCGGCUUCCAGCGAUAAAGGCGGGUACAUAGGAAGGAAGGAGACAACAAUCUCAAACUGUGACAAUGUUCUACACUACAGUGGAGAAAAACGAGCAUGAACCAGAGAUGAUGGUGGUGCAUCUGAAGCCGCCCAGAUACAUACAUCUAAAGCUGUCUGAGAUUAUCCAUAUUCAGUUCUGCCCCUUCUUCUGAGCACUCUGAAAGUGCUCAGGAGGUAGCAUCGAGAACGAACCACCACUAGAAGGCUCUCCUGUGAACCCGUCAGCAGGCCCGAAGCUGAGGUUGAAGGAGCCAAAGUUCGCCGUCGAGAGGAAGUCACCACUGCAUCCAUCAACAAAACCUUUGAUAUCCAGAGCACUGUUCUCCCCUGAGGACGAGGCACCCCACACGAAGCUGCUGCCGCUGCCGCCGCCCACUGAGCCAGCUGGGACUUUCGCUGGUUCCCGACGGCUCCCAGCACGGCCGGUCUGGUGCUGGUCCGAGCAAGCCUUCGGCGGCUCCUCCUCCAGCGGCGACGACAACGCGGGCGUGUGACCUUGGAACAAGGCGACGUGCGCGAAGAGCUUGUCCUUCCUCGAGAAACUCGUCCCGCAGGAGCACACCCACCUGUCCCGGCGGCCGCAGUGCUUCUCGUGCGUCCUCAGGUCGGCCACGAUGGAGAACUUCUUGGCGUGGCACCGGCCGCAGGUGUGGCUCUUCUCGCAGUGGCUCCGCCUGUAGUGGUUCUUCACGCACAGGAUGGUCUUGAGGGGCUGGAAGCUUUUGUGCAGCUUGUUCCGCUUGCACCCCGCGAACGGGCACGAGUACCGCCGCUUCGCCGGCUCCUGCUCCGCGCCCGGGUCCCUCGGCGGCUUGGCCAGCGCCGCCGGGCUCUUGUACUCGUCGCCGUGCCCUCGCAUGUGCAUCCGCAGGUUCGCGUCCCGCUUGAACCCUUUCCCGCAGAUGGUGCAAAAGUGCGUGUGCGGCGCCAGUAUCUCGUCCUCCUCCAGCUGCAGCAGCUCGUACGAGAGGCUGUCUCCGUCCUUGGUAAUUUCCUGCUCCUCGACAAGAACGCCGUCGUCGUCGACCUCAAUGCCGCCAUCGGUCCAUCCCUUGAACAGCUCCUCAUAGUCUUCAGAAACGGUCAUCGCAUUAGGCACUAGGCUCGAGCUUGGGCCAACAUGGUUAGCCAUGUCCACGUGGCCAGCAGGGUGGGGGUGGCUGAGGAACGACGAGUUCUUCAGUGACGGGAGCAGGCUGCCGGCGGUGGAGAUGAGCUGAACUAUAAGGCAUGUCAGGUCCGCGUUGACCACCUGCUGCUUCUGCUUCUGAGCCAGCAGCUCGCCUGCUUGGUGGUGGCACUGGACCUGCACCUGCCCGGCGUUGUCCACCAUUGUGCGGAUGACGUCCUUCACUUGCUGUAUCUUCUCCUCGAUGAAGGUGAGGUUGUCUAGCAUCGUGGCCGGGUUCCAGUCCAUGUGCGGGAUGUUGGUGGAUGGUGGUGAGGCGAACGGUGGUGGGUAUUGCUGCUCAGUCCCCAUGCCGAACUGGUAGUAGAGGUUAGCAGCUGGCUGACUAUGGAUGUGGUUAUCCAUUGCCGAUUAGCUUUCAGAGUUCUCUGUGUUUUGAGUUGGGAUCGGAGUCUGCAAAAGAAGAUUUGAAACCCCAACGGUUCGGUUCGUCAGAACCUGCAGAUCUGAACAUCCAUCGUUUACAGAUAGUUAGGUGCAUGUAAAAGGCACGAGUCAUUAGUUGAUUGAUAAUGGGUAGGAAAUAGCACGGCAUAGGAAAUUUCAACAUGUUAAAUGGUUCGUACUUGUCAAGCCAUGGCAACUAGUAUUUGGACACAAAGGACAGAAGCAGGCACAAAUUUGACAGGAUUUGAGGGAAAUACAGGUAAUCAAUUGCUCUCGUCUGGACGAGUCCCUCACGUCUGUUUGACCCAAGAAAGCCGUCCGCCCGUCCUUCUCUCUCUCUCUCUCUCUCGAGAGAGAGAGAGUCGAGAGAUCUCCGCCCCUCGACCUCCGUCAACAGUACGAUGACGCGAUAUCCAGACAGAAAUUAAACCCUUAACGACUUGUUUCCAAGAAAAUAUAGCAAGAGGCGCAUACCAGAGAGGAUGAGGAGGAACCGGCCGCGGCGGAGGAGGGCGGCGGAGGAAGCAGGCGGGAGGCAAGAAGCAUACUAGACGACGGAGGGAGGUGGGUGAGGGUUGGUCAAACUUGAGGAGAGGGAGGCGGAGCUCCCCAAUCCAAGAACCAAUCAGUCACACGGGUGUCCUACUAUUGUUUACUCGGUGGCCUGUGAAUAAUUGCGUAGAUUAUUGGCUCGCUCCUGAUCCAUCCUCGGAGGCUGCUGCCCUGCUGAUGCUCGUCGCCCGCUUACCAUGGACAUGGUCGUCACAUGGCCAUGUCAGAGACUAGACGAUGCCUAUGACCGUGUGAUGCUACCAUUGGCACGGUAAUAGGCAUCACGUGGAGAUGGCAACGGUUAUGUGUGACCUGAUAACAUAUGUGUAUUUAGGUAUAUAUAUGAGUUAAUGUUGUAUCCAUGGGUCUAUUAUUAGAUAAAAUCUUCACUGAACCGAUAAAUGGGUAUUAGAAUAUUCCGUCCUCACUCAUACCAGUUAACUCAUGGGUAUAAAAUACCUAGUGUAAACUUAGCUCAAAAGCAUGAACUUGAGUUUUAGUCAUCUAUCUUUUUUACUAUUUUCUUUUUUACUAUUUAACAACAUGUCAUAGAAGUUUUAACGACUAUUUAAUGACCAUGUAAUGGAACAUUUAAUGUGCUAUAUGGUACUAUCAUAAUAUUGCUUCUUUAUCCAACUAUCUUUGGUAUUGUUGAAUGGAUGAUUAAAUGAUGCUAGUAAUGGUAUUUAUUUAGAUAUACUUGACAUUUAUAUAAUGUAUCAUUUUAAAAGUGUUUAAUCUUUGCGGGUAUGAGUGACCCAUAACCACAUGUGUAUAGGGGGUAAAUUUAUACCCACCUGUAGAUAUGGGUGAUUCAAUAUAAUUAUUUUUUUAUCGUGGAUAUGAGUGUAGGAUAGUAAUAGCCGCAUUGACAUAGAUUGAUUACACUCUCUUUAUCAUACAUGAUCGACCGAUAUACUGGUGCUAAUCCAGCAGUAUAGUUACUAGUGAUACGACGGUUUAUCAAUCCCCAUUCUGCUCUGUAUAUUAAAAAAAGUAUCGUUGCGUAUGGAACUUCUCGUAAGAAAUUUUAACAUCUGAACGGAUGGUGAAGGUAGUGUUGAGCACCAUUUUGAGCCGUCAGACGGUCCGUCUCUGGGGUCGGACCGUUCGCGCCUGUGGUUCAGAUGAUCCGCGCGCGCGCCAAACCAGUUAGAGUUCCGAGUUUCUUGCUACAGUUGUUGGCUAGAUUCACGGAAUUAGCUCGGGAAAUCUGUUUGUAACGGGUCCAGUCCCCCUCCUCUAUAAAUAUAGAGGAUUACAGCCGAUUAAGCAUCAACAAUCGAAUCAAUAAUAAAUUUAUCUCGCAUUUAUUUCUUGUACAUUUAGGAGUAGUUCUAGUUUAGUCUUCUAAUCCUUAAAUUCUCUGCUUCUCUUCAACUCUACGUCGAUUAGAGGAGUCUAGGUCGACCUGCCGAGCCUAGACAACACCUAGGAUCUCUCCUCCCUGACGGGGUCCCUCCCGGGAGCGAGAUCCAGGCGCUGCCGGCGACUUUCGCCGCCCAUGCGCACGCGUGGACCGUCUGGCCUAUAGGCGCGGACCGUCCGACCCGUCAGGCAGGAAACCCUAGCCCUGCGCCAGGUCACGGACCGUCUGGCCCCUGGCCGCGGACCGUCCGCGCCUAUGCAGAGAGCACCGCCAUCAGUUCUCAUGUAAUGAUUGACGCCCAAAAAGGCACCAACAAACUUUUGGCAACUCCGCUGGGGACGAUUUUAUAUAGAUCUAUCAAGAUCAGCCUUCAAUGGCCGGUUCAAAUGAUAGCUCUGAAGUUUCCACCAGCAAUAUUAUCAAGCCCACAUGGGAAACCUUGACGGCUGAAGAACAGCUCCCGUUCGAGGAGCGCCAGGAGCAACUGAUCCAGAAAGCAAAGACAAAAUUCCUAGCCAAUUUCAAGGUGGACAGGAACAACAAAGUCAUUCGACAACGGGUGACAGAUCUGGCUUCGCUCCGGCCUACUACAGAUAUCCCCAAUGUAAGUAACACCAAUGAGCUCCAAUCCCUUAAAGCUUACAUAGACGAACAGCGAGAGCAGAUGCAACGUAUCGUAGGAGAUAUACAAAAUGAUCGUAAAAGGCUAGUGUGUGCGCUUGAUAAGUCUACUAUUGCAAAUUUUACUUUGCACGAGGUUGAACUGAGGGAAUAUACGUGUGAUUCAUCGGCUACAGGUUGUCACGACCAGUCACAACCCCUUUAUGGGAUGUCGAGGUACAUUUACUCUGGAAAACCACAGCCUCCUACGCACAUAGGUGAUAAACUCGUCGAUCUGCGCAUGUCCGGACCGUCCGCACAUGAGCGCGGACCGUCCGUGCCAGCGGCGACCGAUCCCAUUUUUAGAAGUGAAAUACUGAGGCCUGCACCCAAGCCGCCACAUACCGUGCAAACCCUAGAUAACCCAUUCGAACCGUCCGCGUAUGGCGCCAGAUAGUCCGAAUAUAACGCGACGGUCCGUCCAUAAGGCCGGACAGUCUACGCACGUAGCUGGACGGUCCGCGUAUUUAAUCGGACGGUCCAGCACAGAGUUUUUUGAGGAGGAUGGAUAUCCAACUCCACAUCUGUUCCAGCUAAACUCCCAUCUCACCAUACGACAUACCAGCACCAUGAUAUAACCUACCAAACCCAUGAGAGUGAGUACUUUCCGGCCCCCAGAAGGCCAGAAAGGAAUGGCUAGUCCAAUGAGCCUCAUAGGGCAUGUAUUAACGCACCGCAAAACCCAAACCAAUGGGGGGGAAACAACAUACCAACAUCCAAACAACCUCACCCAUAUUGGACCAAAAAGUCGGUGGUCUCCCACCGGCUGCCAUCGACAUAGUAAGAGAGGAAAUAGCUGGGGCGUUCCGAGAUAAGCUCGAAGUUGGCAUAAUCCCUAGGGGCGGUCAUAUUGGAAACCUUAUGGUAGCCAUUUUGACCGUCUCCCAUACCCACAUGGGACCAGAAUACCCGAAUUCACAAAGUUUUCGGGUGACCAAGGAAAGAGCACGUGUGAGCACAUAGACCAGUUCUUAGCACAAUUAGGAGAAUUGACCGACGCCAAAGCAUUCCGUGUGCAUUUAUUUUCAUUAUCUUUAACAGGGACUGCAUUCGCAUGGUAUGCCACGCUCCCUCCUAAUUCCAUUUUGUCAUGGAGAGACUUAGAACAAAAAUUUCAUGAAUAUUUCUUCUCUGGCGAUUACGAGCUAGAUUUAGUAGACUUAGUGGCCCUAUGACAAGAAAAGGAUGAAUCGGUUAAUGAUUACAUUCGAAGAUUCUAGGAUACGAGAAACCGAUGUUUUCAAAUUCAUUUAGCAGAUAAACAGCUAGCGGGAAUAGCCUUUGAUGGAUUGCGAUAUUAUUUAAAAGAAAAAUUGGAAGGCAUCCAGUUCUUUACGCUAGCACAAUUGCAUCAGAGAGCUUUGGCUUGUGAAAGCCGAAGCAAAGAACUAGUCAAAACAGUUCGUCACAAUGUCCAUAUAAUAGAAUGUGAUCAAAGUAGUCCGGACGACGAAUCAAAGGAAGUUUACGCUGCAGAAAUGGUUUGGCCCAAGUAAGCCAAAUCCUCGGCUUGUUCCUCCUUGCAGCCGGUUCAAAAGAAACGGCAAGAGCAGGUUAAGUUUACAUUCAAUGUUGGCAAAUGCGAUAAGAUAUUCGACGAAUUACUAAAAAAUGGCAACAUUAAGAUAGAUUAUACUGUUCCACCCGCCGAUGAACUAAGACAUCGCGCAUAUUGCAAGUGGCACAACUCAUUUUCACAUGCCACUAAUGACUGUAAUGUGUUUCGACGACAAAUCCAAUCGGCCAUUAAUGAGGGACGAUUGAAAUUUCAGGAGGACACAGAGCCCUUCCCAAUGAAUGUGAUCGACUUCGAGGGCAAAAAAGUCCUAAUUCGACCCGGCACGAUCGAUAAGGGCGAAGGCAAGGAAGUUAUCAUCGGCAACACACGAAAGGCCAAUGAAAAUAAUAAAAUUUCUUACAGGAAGGUGGUUGCCGAGAAGACUCCUGAUGGAGGAGAGACUCUGAAGGUUACCAUCACAAGCGCUGGGGGGGCAAUCGCAAACAGGUGGUCGAACGCGGGAACCUGUUUUACGCAUCAUAGAUGGUCCGGUACACAGACGCGGACGGUCCGGGACCUUGCCCGACAGUGCAGGUCAUUCCAGUAGACGGUCCAACAACGCUAAGGAGCCACGGUGACCACAUACCUUCAAACCACAACGACCAGAAAUAGGUACGUGGAAAACUAACACGUUCAAGGCAGCUGGUCAGUUGGUCAAAUCUAGCCCAACCUUUGAUCAAUUAUUGUCUAAAUAUGUGAAAAAGAAGGUCGGCCCAGUAACCGGCCACCAAACCGACCUCGCAUACCCACCCAGGAGCGACAGCAGGUUAGGCCGAUUGGACCACCUUAUCAAUCGGAAAGGACGGGAGGUCAUAAUGUUCAAUUAAGACCUAACGCACCUGCAUGGACACCGCCACCUCCACAUACACCCAUGUCAUGUCAUUUUACAUACACACUACCGCCACUAUAUAUCCCGAAUCAGAUGUGGGGUGCACCACCAUAUCCAUUCGGGAUACCACAAUACCCCGCCUGGGGGGCACCUCAAUCAUCUGUUUUUGAUAGGUUGACGCCUCCAAUACAAGACCGAUUGAGAGCCCCUCAAUCUGGUCCAUAAGCACAGGCCCAGCAAGAUUGCCGGACAACUCGGCCUCAAGGGCUGACUAAUCCGGCAGGGGCAUAUAGUUACAGCCUCCAAUAGUAUAAUAAAAGGGGAUGUUAUUAAAAUAGGAACAAUAGAUGUCGUCGUACGACAAAAUAACGAAGGGCAGAUGAUUUUUGGUGAAUCAGCCAAAACAAACAAAAAAGAAGAUACGAUUGUCAACAAAUAGCCGAUCCAAAAUACACCAUGCCCCGAUGGUGCCCAUCGGGAUUGACACGAUCGCAAAAGCGAAAAUUACAGCACCUCAGAGCAAAGGAAAAUCAGGAAAAGGAGGCGGGAAAAUAUUCAAUGACACACAUCCGCAGUACCCACCACUACAAAAAAGAUGGAGACCAAAGGCCAUUGAGGAAAAGCAAACAGCCACAAAGACAGAAAAUAAAACAACAACUAUGCAGUUCUCUGCAGGUAUAGCAGACAGUCCGGCUAGAAACGCCGGACCAUCCGUACAGGGCACGGACCGUCCAAUCUCUAAGGUCGGACCGUCCGCACUACACCAGGACACCUCCAACGAUGUACGACACCCAUGGAGGAAGACGACCUGCAAGGAGAAGACCUGGUCGACUACGAAGCUACACCAGAACACUCAAAAAAUUAGGAAAGCGAGAUGACGAAUUGGUCAGGACCAGUACGACGCUCGGCGAUGUUGGGACUAACAGUUCGAUCAAAGCUAAAGAGGUCACGUCCGUUGGGUUAACCAUUGUGACCAAGACCCUUGCGUACCAUCCUAGUAGGUGGCAAGAUGCCUAAGAAAGCUGAUGUGAUCACAUCAGGUUAGUUGCUUUUGGUUUGCCCAGCUCCUCGAAAAGGAAGGGGGCAUAUGUUGAGCACCAUUUUGAGCCAUCAGACGGUCCGCCCCUGGGACCGGAUGGUCCACGGUCCGGACGAUCCGCGCCUGUGGUCCGGACGGUCCGCGCGCGCAGAGCCAGUUAGGGUUCCGAGUUUCUUGCUAUAGUUGUUGGCUAGAUUCGCAGAAUUAGCUCGGAAAAUCUAUUUGUAACGGGUCCAGCCCCCCUCCUCUAUAAAUACAGAGGAUUACGACCGAUUAAGCAUCAACAAUCGAAUCAAUAAUCAAUUUAUCUCGUAUUUAUUUCUUAUACAUUUAGGAGUAGUUCUAGUCUAGUUCUAGUUUAGCCUUCUAAUCCUCAAAUUCUCCGCUUCUCUUCGACUCUACGUUGAUUAGAGGAGUCUAGGUCGGCCUACCGAGCCUAGACAACACCUAGGAUCUCUCCUCCCCGACGGGGUCCCUCCCAGGAGCGAGAUCCAAGCGCUGCCGGCGACCUUCACCGCCCCUGCGCAUGCGCGGACCGUCCGUGUCACACCCGGUUUUAGAAGGCAAACCGAAUGCGAACCAUGUACGUGCCAGGAUCAGCAAUUCACGUACACAGCAAUUACAUAACUGAAUAUCAUCACACAGUGCUCAAAUAAUAACAUAAAAGAGUAAUAAUAGUCGAUUACAUCAUAAUGUCUGAGACAUCCACAUAGUCUUUAACAAUAAUCAAAGUGCGAAAACAAAACGUAGAUACACGCGGCCUUCACAGGCAGCCGACUGGGGGUUGCCGCUAACCCACGCCUAGAACUCGUCGUAAUCUUGGAACUCCUGGAAGUCUUCCUCCACGGCUUCAUCUUCUCCUGAGUAGUGGUUGCAACGUGGACAACCUGGGGAAGGGGGGGUUUGGUGUGUAGAGCAAGGGUGAGUACACAUCAACAUACUCAGCAAAUGUCUUGUUUGGCUGUAGUGGACUAGCUUUAUGUGGGGGUAAGUCAAGCAGUUGCUUUUAGUUGGUCAGAUUAUUAUUACUAGUAGAGAGAGCUAGAUUUUAGUAUUAACCCAAGUUGUUAACCCAAAAGUACCCUUUCCAAACGGAAAGAAUACCACUUACCAUUACCAUAGUCAAUACCAAAACCACCAUUCUCAUCGCCACUUGUAAUCCGAAUAUCUCUGAUCAAGUAUCACUAAUCAAUGGAGCUCCCUUGGCCGCUCAUAACCGCGAGCACGACUGAUAUAUCAGUUUUCAUAACACUCUGCAGAGGUUGCGCACUUUACCCACAAGUCGUGAUUCCCUUUCUACCCAGAGAUCAUGACUCUCCAUUGAUCACUACCAAGGUGACCCAACAGGGUAUCACUACGUAGCCUUUACAAAGAUUCCCCGGGGCUGUAGCCGCCCGUUAGGUUUCCUAAAUGCACCGCACUCCUCCCCAAGGGGCGAACCAACCUUGGUAGAGCGAGCCGCAUACACCGAGCCCCAUUAAUGGCACGACGGCAAAGCGAGCUACACCCCGGUUCAUCUAAUUAUUCAGCUAAGGGUGUCCCAUUCCACCCUCAUGGUUGCACUGUUUUCCCGGGCGGUCAUCCAACGAACAGGUCCUUACGGAGAGGCACUCGAGAAACCGCUCGAGUCCCCUUAAAUGCCACAAGUAUAUCAUCAUAAUAAAGAAGGGAAACAACGUAUCAUUGAUAAACCUCAUCAUGUUCAUUGAUUAAUGUGAAGCACUAGCAUGAAGCUAAACCAGAAUAAAUCAACCCAAAUAGGUAAGCAAGGACAUGGAUAACAAAAGCUAGUCAAUCCUUAGGUAUAAAUUGUGUAAAUGCGGAAAGUGAAUUAAGGAAUGUAUAGGACAUAAGUGGGUCAAGGGACACUUGCCUCCACCAACCAGCUACUGCUCAGGGUCUUCUCCUGCGAGUUCUUCGGACUCCUCAACCAGACCGUUAUCUAUGCGAGCGCAAACAUACAUCUAUCUCUUUGAAUUAGGAAAUAAACAGUACACCAUACAAGAGAGCAGAUAAAUCGAAUAUGCAUAAGAUAUGACAUACGAUUUGCAUUUGCAAUUGCUAGAAAGAGAAAAAGAAAGGUCUCGCAGUGGUUAAAGCUAUAGUCGAAGCGUAUUACGUGUAUGUGUGUAAUUAAUCAUUACUUCAUCUAGCUCUACUUAGCCAUACUAACAGGUAUUAAUCACAUGCACUAAUAGAGUUACAACUAUUUCCAAUUGGUCGACAUCAAACAAAGUCAAUGAUUAACUACGUGAGAUAAUUAACGUGAUCAAUUUUAAGUAGUGGGGCAACUACAUAAAAUAAACGACACGUUCCAUGCGCAUAGAAUACACGGGGCAGGGGUAGACGGGUGUCUAGUGGUAGACGGGCAUGUCUAGGGGUAGACAGGUAUGCCAUAAGCGUGGCGGGGCGCUACGUGUCGCGCUGGAAGCACGGCGAACCGCGCCAAGACUCCACGCGCACCAUGCGAGCACUAGCGCGCGCGAGGCCGCACUGACGCGCCGCGAACGAGCCGCGCCAGGGCCGAGCCGCGCGCACGUCGCGCUGCGCGCCGCGAGCAAGCAGCGGGGCCGCGCCGGGGCUGAACUCGCUGCACGAGCGGCGGGGACGCGCCGGGGGCCGACCACACCACGCAGGCCGUGGGGCCGCGCUGGGGGCCGACUGCGCCGCGCCGGGUCCGAGCAGCCAUGGCUGGGCCGCGAGCUGGGUGGGGCAGGGGGCCAUGGCCGCGCCUGGGGGCCGCUGCACCGGGGAGAGGUCGGGGCGGCUGCACCGGGCAGGGAGGGGCCAGGACCGGGGCACCACGGCCAUGCCGGGCGAGCGCGCCGAAGACGCGCCGCGAGCACGCCGGGGUGGGGCACGCCAUGGCCGGGUGGGGAAGCACGAGGGGAAGCCGCGUCGGGUCGGGCGGGCGCCAUGGCCGGGCCGCGCGCACCGGGGCGAGCUGACGCGCGGGGAGGGGCGGGGCUGGGCGGGCCGCACAGCGGGCAGGGGCAAUGCUGGGCCGCCACGCCGAGCCGGGCAGGGGCCACGCUGGGGCCGCGCCGAACGGGCGCACCGGGGGUCGCGCUAGGCGAGCACGCCGGGGCCGCACCGGGCGAGCGCGCCGGGGGCCGCCGGGGCGGGGCUGCGUCGGGGCGGGCGCGCCGCGCCGAACGGGCGCCGUGGCCGAGGAAGAAGGGAAGAAGAGGGGGGCGAGGGAGAGGAGGGAGAAGGGACUCACCACGAGGGGGCGAGGGUGGCACCGGGGUCGGCGGUUCCGAGCGGCGUGCGCGGUGGAGGAGGGAGACGAGCUGCGCGAGGGAGAGAGAGACAUGCGCGGGAGUAGAGGAGAGAGAGAGGGAGGUAGUUGGGGGGCUGACGGGUGGGCUCCACCAGGGGGUGGUGGCGGCGACGCAUAACCGCCCACGCGCGCGGCGCGCGGGGGACGUGGGGGAGCCGGCCGGGCCGCCGGGCGAACUGGGCCAGGGGGGCGAGCUGGGCCACGCGCGCCGGUUGGGACGCGGGGCGGGCGAGCUGAGCCGCGCGUUGGCUGGGCAGCGAGGGGGGUGAGGGGAGCCGUGCGCCGGCUAGGCCGCGACGGAGAGACGGCCCAAGAGAAGGAGGGGGGCCCUUCUGGGCUAAGGGUGGAGGGGGCGCGGCUAGGUGGGCCGCCAGAAGAAAAAGGGGAGAGAAAGGGCUUGGGGGUUUCUAUUUUCCCUUUUUUGCUCUAUUUCCUCACCUAGAUGCAUAUUUCACCAAUUCACUCAACCACAAACAAAAAGAUGCAUGAUCCGACAUGAUACCACAACCAAAAGAAUUAACCCUAGGGUUUUACUUACACAAGAUGUUGAGCUAAAUCUCGCUAUAACUUUGGAAAAGAACAAGGCAUAGCGAGAAGAAAAAGAAAGAGGAAAGGGUAAUGCCUGACUUUGGCGAGUGAUGGAGAAAGAAAAAAUUUAACUCUCAAAUUCGGGGCGUUACAAACCUAUCCCCCUUAAAAGAAUCUCGCCCUCGAGAUUCAAGGUUGGCUAGCAAAGAGCUCAGGAUAUUUAGCCAUCAGAUCAUCUUCACGCUCCCAAGUUGCUUCUUCUUCGGAGUGAUGGCCCCAUCUGACUUUGCACAUUCUGAUAGUUUUCCUUCGGGUGACUCUGUCUGCAGUCUCAAUAAUUUGCGUUGGCUUCUCAAUAUAGGUUAAAUCUUCUUGGACUUCGAGACCCUCCAUUGGCAGCUGCUCUUCUGGCACACGCAGACAUUUCUUUAACUGAGACACAUGAAAGACAUCAUGCAUGACAGACAAAUUUUCUAGCAGGCUGAGCUGAUAGGCCACUUCUCCACGCCUUGCGAGAAUUUGAUACGAACCAAUAUAGCGGGGUGCUAGCUUGCCUUUGACUCCGAAUCUUCUGACUCCUCUGAUAGGCGAUACUUUCAAAUAGACAAAAUCUCCAACUUCGAAACUCAGCUCUCUUCUUCUUGUGUCUGCAUAACUUCGCUGUCUUGAUUGCACUAUCUUCAGGUUCUCUCGAACCAUUUUAAUGUUCUCUUCAGCUUCAAGCAAAAUGUCUGGCCCAAACACUUGCUUUUCUCUAGGCUGAUCCCAUUGCAACCGAGUUCUACAACUCCUUCCAUAAAGCGCCUGAAAUGGUGACAUCUUCAAGUUGGCCUGGUAGUGUUGUUAUAGGAGAACUCUGCAUAAGGUAACCUCUUGUCCCAUUCGGACUGAUCUUGCAACGCACAAGCUCUCAACAUGUCUUCGAGGAUUUGAUUAGUUCUUUCGGUCUGACCAUCUGUUUGUGGAUGACAAGAUGAACUGAAAUUCAGAUGGGUACCCAAGGCUUCAUGCAACUGCUGCCAGAAAUGAGAGGUGAACUGCGUUCCUCUGUCUGACACUAUCUUCUUUGGCACACCAUGAAGACAAACGAUCCGGGACAUGUACAACUCUACCAAUACUGCAUUGCUGUAGUUGGUCUUGACAGGUAUGAAGUGGGCUAACUUGGUUAAGCGGUCCACUACUACCCAAAUGGAAUCGUAGCCGGCUCGAGUGCGAGGCAAUCCGACUAUGAAAUCCAUACCGAUUUCAUCCCAUUUCCACUGGGGAAUUCGCAACGGUUGCAACAACCAGCUAGUCUCUGAUGCUCUGCCUUGAUCCAUUGACAACUAUCACACAUAGCCACGUGCUCUGCGAUUUCCCUCUUCAUUCUGUACCACCAGAACUUCUUCUUUAGAUCCUGAUACAUCUUCUCACUUCCAGGGUGUAUAGAAUAAGCUGUCUCAUGAGCUUCCUUGAGGAUUAAUUCCCGAAUGGACUGGACAUUGGGAACACACAAGCGAUCUUUGAACCAUAUCACACCUUCUGCAUCUUCCCGAAAGUCUUUACCUCUGCCUUGAAGAAGCAGUUGCCGGAUUUCAAUGAUCUUCUCAUCAUUCUUCUAUGCUUCUUUGAUUUCUCACUCCAAGGUGGGUUCUAACUCAAUUGUUACUCCUCGCAUAUUAUUCAGAAAUUCGAGGCUCAACCUAUCGAACUCUUUGGCCAACUCAUAAGACAUCAGACAAGCGACCAUUAUAUUGACUUGACUCUUCCUGCUCAAAGCAUCUGCCACUAUGUUUGCUUUGCCUAGAUGAUAAUGAAUCUCCAAUUCAUAGUCUUUGAUCAACUCUAACUGUCUUCGUUGCCUCAUAUUCAGCUCUAACUGAGUGAAUAUGUACUUCAGACUCUUGUGGUCUAUGUAAACAUCACAUUUCUGCCCAUACAGAUAGUUCCUCCAUGUCUUCAGUGCAUGAACCACUGCUGCCAACUCUAAGUCAUGUAUUGGGUAAUUCUUCUCAUGAACCUUCAGCUGUCAGGACGAGUAAGCCACAACUCUUCCCUCUUGCAUCAACACACAUCCCAAACCAGUGUAACAAGCAUCGCAAUACACCGAGAAGGGCUUGUGCACAUCAAGCAAGACUAAGACAGGCGCUGUAGUCAACUUAUCUUUCAGUGUUUCGAAGGCCUCUUGGCAUUUCUGGAUCCACUUGAACUCAACUUUGUUGCUAGCAAAGUUGUCAUUGGUUUCGCAAUCUUCGAAAACCAUUCAAUGAAUCACCGAUAAUAUCCGGUUAUUCCAAUGAAGCUCUUGAUUGCUCGAGCAUCUGUUGGUGCUUUCCAAUUCAGAAUGUCUGCCACUUUCUUUGGAUCCACAUCCAAUCCUUCUUUGUUGAUUGUGUGACCCAAGAACAGGACUUCAUCUAUCCAGAACUCGCACUUGCUCAACUUUGCAUACAGUUGGUGCUCUCGCAAUCUCUACAAUACCAUCCUCAAAUGAUCCGCGUGCUCUUCUUCGCUUUGAGAAUAUAUAAGAAUGUCAUCAAUAAAUACCACCACAACCUUGUCAAGAUAAUCCAUAAAUACACUGUUCAUCAGAUGAAUGAAGAAGGCUGGUGCAUUCGUUAGACCAAAAGACAUCACGGUGAACUCAUACAACCCAUACUUGGUAAUGAAUGCCGUCUUCGGAAUGUCUGAGGGUCAGAUCCUAAGCUGGUGAUAAUAACCUGACCUCAGAUCUAUCUUUGAAAACACGCUGGCUCCUCUAAGCUGGUCGAACAGAUCUUGUAUUUUGGGCAAGGGGUACUUGUUCUUGAUCGUGACCUCAUUCAGGGCUCGAUAAUCGAUACACAUCCUUUUGGUGCCAUCUUUCUUCUCCACGAAUAGGACAGGGGCGGCCCAAGGCGAGGUGCUUGGCCGGAUGUAACCUUUCUCUGGCAGCUCAUCGAUCUGCUUCUUGAGCUCAACUAACUCUGGUCCGGAUACUCUGUAAGUUCUCUUAAAGAUGGGGGCGUGUAAGGCCCAAAAUUUGUACAAAAAAAUAUAAUAAUAAUAAAACAAAUAUAUAUUCAUUGCUUCGUAACUGAUUUUGAGUAUGUAUUAAAAAUUUGAAUUCUUAAAACUUUAUCUUAGAUUUGAAAUUGUAAUUUGUAAAUAAAAAAUGUAAAUAGUGAAAAUAGAGAAGAGCUCAAGAUUUUGCGAUCUAUACUUAUCAUCACAUGUGAACACCUCAUUUAAAAAUAAUAAAUAAAAAGACAUAUCACUAAAUUGUGUGUUGGCUUUUAAUUGUUUGUGCACUUAAUAGUAGUCACAACAAUAUGAAUAAAAUAAUAAACAAAUUAGAAAAAUAAAGACUAACUUGAAUGUUUAAAAAUGAGAAAUAAAUAGUGAAUAUUCAUUUUUAAACAUGCACUUAAACAAUAAUAUAUGAAUAAUGUAUAUGGUGGAAAUCCCAAUCAUUUAAUUCCCUAUUAUCGCAUAUUAUUGGUUUAAGUAGAGUAGUGACUAUGAACAAUUCUUAUUUUUGUCUUAAUAACAUAAUAUUAUAGUUUGCAUCAUGUUGGAUUUUUACUUCUGCAUUUAAUAUAAAGUUUGAAACUCAAACUCAGAUUGAGAUUUGAAGUUAAAACUUGGAGAAAGAGAAGAAAUGAUAAUAAAUUCAUUAUUUCUCCCAUAAUUGAAUAAUACGAAGAAAGACAAUUAAAAAUAUUGCAAAUAGUAGCAUUUGUAAUAUUAGUGGUAUUUUGGAUAUGGGAAAUAUGAAAUGCAAAUCAGAAAUCUGAAAUUAGCUUGAAGUUUUUGAAUUUAAAUAGAAAGAGAAGAAAUGAAAUAGAAAAGAAAAUAUAAAUAUCCUGCGCUUGGGCCGGAUUCGCCCCAUCUCGGCCCAAGUCGUGUUGCCAUCGCGUGGCCCACUCUGCUAUCAGUCUUGCGCGGGUUCCUGACUCACUGACUGUGUGGGCCCAAUGGACAGCUCCUGCGUGCUCUCCUGUGCCACGCGCAGACUCACGUCUCUCUUUUUGUGGGCCCCUUCCGUCAGCGCUUUCUUCUCCCUCUUAGCAAGCUCGCGCGUAACGGAAUCGAGCUACCGCCGCUAAUGUCGGGCUCAUGAGAAACCUCUCGCUUGUCCUAGACCCGGUCUUCUGGGGAUAAGACCCUGGGGCACUUCUCCUUGAACUCCAAGUCCCAACCACCGCCUACUCUUCCCCUCUGCUCUGCUCUACCUCGCUGGCGGCGGCGUGCAGAUCGCUGUCCUCGCCCGCACUGAUUCGCCCCUGCCCCCUCUCCUCGUCACCUGUAGCGGACCUCAUGGGCGUGCUAUCGAAGCUCCUAUGCAUGCCAUCCUCUUCCGCUAGAACGCGCGCGCCCCUCCUGUAUUCAGUGCUUGGCCAUCGGGACCGCGGGUCACCAUCGUCCGACGUCUGCUGCAUCGUUGUGUGGACAUACGAUCGUUUGUGGUCUUCGCAAGUUCACCUGGAUGGUCCUCGUCGACAUCCCGUGCAAGAUCGAUGGCUGGGUUGGCCGGAAUUGCUCGCCGUGGUAGGAGCUCCGCUGCGGAUCUGCACCGCGCCGUGGUCGGGCAUCUUCACGUCGCUAACUCCGGCGAGUCUCGGUUGCUCAUAUUCGCCAUCAUCUUCUAUACGUGUAGCUCUGUCCAAUCGGAGUUUGGGGGACUGUGGCACACGACCGCAGUUGGCGGCGAUGGCUCCGCCGUUGGGGCAGAGCGCCGCCGCGUUUGACCACGUUGGAAGGGGAGUAACGCGGAUCGUUUGAUUCAAAAGAUGCGGCUGAGAUUUAUUCUGGGGAGGUACCCUUUAGCACCUUUAAUCUAAACCGAUUGGUCUCAAUUCGACGCGUAGGAUUAGAUCCAGGUAUCGUUUCGGCCAGGGCUUCUCGCUGACGUUGAUCUUCGACCGGAGAAAUCCAAGCCGUUCCCUAACCAUUAAAAUCUGGGGCCUUGAUCGCUGAUCUGGCGGUCUAGAUCGCGUACACCUUCGUCGUUAUAUCGAGGCCGUCUGAUGGGGGAUCGGACGACUCUGAUCCUACCAUACCCCUUCGUCGUGGAAGUUUUGCUUAAGAGUCCCUGCUCUUUUUAUGAAUCAACCCGCAGUCCUGGCGCUAGUAGUUCUGAGUCUUAGGAUUUCUUAUGUGUCAGCCCCUGAGUUUUUUAAAAAUUGAGGCCCAGUCCAGGAGAUUAAGAAAUCCAAGAAAAGAGAAUAGAAAUCUAUUUUUAGUAUAAAAAUAAUGGCUAGAAUUUGUUUAAUCCAUAGAAAAUUCAUACUAAUUCCAAAUUGAGUCAUUUCAGUUCCUAUAAUUUUGUAAUAUUAUGAUUUAUCAUCUAAUGUCUCUGUUUUGACAUGAAAGCCACUUUAGAAUCUAUUUCCUAAUUAAUCUUAUAUCAACUACAUAAAACCUUAGGAAAUUCGUAACUGCUCCGUUUUAACUCCAAAUUGAUCCGUUCAAGUUGCGUUAUUCUCGUAUAAAUAUUUACUAUGCAAUAACAACAUUUAUUGUGCCAUGUCACAUUCUUUUAUAAUUAGAUCUUUAUUUAACGUGUGUUGGUUAGUCUUGUUAAAUUGCUUACCAUUAUAACCUACUAGAAUAAGAUAUGUGGCCAAUUUAUAACUUAGAUUAAGUUGAGAUAACUAUUUAUAGAAUAAUCUCUUAUAUGAUUUAUAUUAACUAAUUUAUAAUAUAGAUUAAUAUUUUAAUCACACAGAUCUUCUAUAAAAUCAUACCUCCUUAACCAUAACUCCGAUCUUAGUAGUUCUCGAACCCGCGAUCUCGUAGCAACGUGUAGAUUAUUAUUAUUCAGUUUGUACUUAUGUUUGGUGUGAUGUUGAUUUUGUCUAUAUCAUGUUUGCUUGUAUUGCUACGACUAGCAGUGCGGUCACGAGGAUCCGAAGAAUCACCCUGGUAACUGAAUCUCAAGUGUCAAGCAAGUUGUGCCCUUGAUCACUUUUGUUACCCAAUAAUAUUCUUUAUUAUCACUAUUCAAUGCAUAGGUUUAAUUUUGAUGGGACCCAAUAGGUCACCCUAGUAUGUUUAUCUUGUUUACCUUGUUUACCCCUGAAUCAUUUGGGUAGAUAUGUUAUUGCUUUAUAUAGUUUUGGGAUAAUAUUUCAUUACAUCCAUGUUCCUAUUAUUCUGUUAUGUUAUUUAUGUUCAUGAUAAGAUCAUUAUGUUAAUGGGAACAUGGAGCGACCACCCGGGAAAACAGUGCUACCACAAGGGUUUAAUGGGACGUCCUUGGCCGAUUAACUAGGAAAGCUAGUGGAUGACUACCUUACCCGAAAGGGGCAAGGGCAGUAGGGGAGUGGUCAGUGUAGGGGGGUCCUUAGGUUGAUUUUGCUGUGAUGGCGGUCAGGCGAGGGAUUCCUACACUGGAGCUUCCUAUAAAUUGUAGCGGGUUUUCUGAAGCUAGUGGAACUUUGUAAAGGCUUCGUAGUGUUACCCUGCCUCGCUUCCUUGGUAGAGGUGUAUGGGAUUCAUGACCCCUUGGCAGAUGGGUAACACGGCUUGUGGGUAAAGAUGCGCAACCUCUGCAGAGUGUAAAACUGGUAUACUAGCCGUGCUCACGGUCAUGAGCAGCUCAGACCCUCACAUGAUUAAUCUAUGGAAUUAAAAUUCAAUUUGUCAUUUGCAUUUGCAUGGGACUAUUUAUUAAUUUUGUUCUAUUAUUUAUUAUGGUUUGGUAUUUACUUAUACUUAGUAAUUGCUAAUAAAAUUUUGACCAACUUAUAAAAGCAAUGCUCGGCUUUAACCCCUACUGUUGAUCAGCUUUACACAUCACAUGAACUCCCACCUUUGGUGAGUUCAUGCCACAUUAUUCCCCACAACUUGUUGAGCGAUGAACAUGUGUGAGCUCACCCUUGCUGUCUCACACCCCCCCAUAGGAGAAGAACAGGUGGUUCAAGUGGAGCCACAUCGAGGAGUUCGAUUCGAUCUAGGUGGCGUCUCCCAGUUGACUUUCUGGCGCCAAGGAUGGAUUUUAGAUCCUGUUAUAUUUAUCUUUUAUUUUGUAAGACUUCCUCUAUGUAAUAAAUACUCUGAUUAUUUUGUGACAUUUAUCUCUAUACACUCUGUUAUUAUAUAUGUUAUCUUCUUUGGCGCAUGUAUGAGAUGCACCCGGCUUUGUCCCUUAAAACCAGGUGUGACAGGGCGGUUCCAGGAAGAAGCUCUAUGGCAAACUCAACUUUUCACUCAGGUGGCAUGCCUGGUAUGUCCUUUGGGAACACAUCUGGGAACUCAGACACAACCUUGAUAAUCUCGGGUGGACCUGCUUCACUGCUAUCAAUAGCUAUCUGAUAGCAACUUCCUUUCUUUGGCUCAGGCGGGACUAACUCGGUCACCACUUCCUCUCCUAGUGGGGACAUCAACUUGAUUGUCCUCUUAUCACAUAUGUAACUGCCUGAUACUUAUCUAGCCAAUUCAUCCCUAGGAUGACAUCUAUUCCCUGAGUACCCAUUACUAUGAGAUUAGCAAGAAACGCUAUCCCCCUUAUUUCCACACUUACAUUCAAGCAAAUGCUAUCGACUCGAAUUGUACCACCGGCUGAGUCAAUAUGAAUGGGUGUUGACAUGGUAGUUAUGGGAAGAUUAUGUGCUUCUACCCAUGAUGCAGUAAUAAAUGAAUGCGUUGCUCCAGUAUCAAAUAACACUUCUGCAAUAUGGGAGUUGAUUGGAAACAUACCUACUAUCAUGUCGGGUGUUUCCUGAACUGCUUCAGCCUCCAAGUGGUUCAGUCUCCCAUGAUUGUAGCAUGGCUGGGAGCGGUUGCCUGCUCUAGGCUGAGACACAUUUUGCUUUGCUAGGGCGCCAAGGCCUGACUGCUGCUGGGCUGCCUUCUUCGGACAUUGCAUCACCCAAUGGCCUUGCUCUCCACAGUGAAAACAUGCUUUGCUUCCGCCUUGAACUGGUGCUGCUUGACUGUUCUGUUGGGUUGCUAGGGCAGGAAGACGAGGUGCCUGCUGAUUCUGCCUCUGAAACUGACCUCCUCCUGACUGAUUAUUCUGGCGAUUCUGCUGCUGGUGCUGAGGGUACUACCUUUGAAACUACUGCUGCUGAGAUGGGUGCUGGUUCUGUCUGAACUACUGAGGUGGAUUGCCCGAGAAACGAGGGCGAUUGCUGCUUCCAGGCUGGGGUCCACUGGCCUUACGCUUGUGAUCCUCCAUCUCUUUGCGCUUCCUCUCUAUCAUGAUUGCUCUAUCGAUCAGGUGCUGAAAUGUGGGGAAGGUAUGAUUCAUCAGCUGAUACUACAGAGGGUCGACCAAGCCUCUCAGGAAACAAUACUGCCUCUUGGCGUCGGUGUUGACAUCUUCAGGAGCAUAGCAAGACAGUUGCAGAAACCUGUCUCGGUACUCACUAACAGACAUUGACCCUUGUUUGAGUGCCAGGAACUCCUCCUUCUUCACUGUCAUCAGACCUGCUGGAACAUGGUACUGACGGAAGCUAUCUCUGAAUUCUUCCCAGGUGAUGGCGUCGGGGUUGGCAUGGGUGGCGAGAUAAGACUCCCACCAAGACUAGGCUGCUCCUCUCAACAGACGGGGACCAUACAGAACUUUCUCCCUAUCAUCACACUGAGCGGUGUGCAACUCCCGCUCCACAGUGCGCAGCCAGUCUUCAACAUCCAUGGGGUCAGAAGAGUGAGCGAACACUAGGGGAUGACCUCUCAUGAAUUCAGCACGCUUGUCCCUGGGUAUCUGAGGCAUCUGAGGCUGAGGUGGUGGCUGUUGUUGUUGUUGCUGCUGAAUGGCAGCUAGAGUCUGACCAAUGGCUUGAACUGCCUGAGUCUGCAUUAGGAACAUCUGCUCGAUGGUCAUCGGGGGUGGGGGUGUCAGCUACUGACGGGGUGCCUCAUCCUGUGGGGCUGCCUGCUCCUAUUGAGCACGCCUUCCUCCUCUGCGCCUGUUUUCUGACAUCUGCAGAAUGCAAUCACAUAUCAGAACUAAUCUUGCAAGCUUGAACCACAAGAAAAGAGUAUAGAAUCCUUCCACAAUACUGAACAGAUGAACAUCUUCACUGACUUCCAACAUAGGCAAACACAUUUUCUUAGAUAAAGAGGAAAGUGGAAUAAAAGGCUUCCCAACUAGAUAACUAACUUCAUUAACAUUUAACAGGUAAACCAAGGUGCAGGGGAUGCCCACACUCUGGUGACAGUCAUUACAAAGAUCCAAAUCCAACAUAGUUCAUCAUGACAAACAUAAAAGCACAGGAUAAGCAAACUACCCUGUCUAACUAAGACUAACUAAAAGUAAGACUGAGACUAAGACUAAUACUAAAACUUCUAUAUUUAAGCAUUUAUUACAGGACUCAACACUGACGAUCUAUGAUUCUAAAUUUAUCUUGGUCCUGCAGUCGGGGUUGCGAUAAGCCUGAUGUCCAUGCCGAGGUGAACGGUACAGGUGCUGAGUCCCGACGGGAGCAGGGGAGCCAUCCUCAGCUCAUCUAAUCCAUGAUCCAGUUCUUUGUUUAGCACGACGGCUAGGUUGACUGUGCUGCUCAACCUAGGAUUGCCCUCACCAACAUGUGAGACAAUUAUGCCUCAUGUGCUGCUAGAUGGACGACAUGGGUAAUACUUCAGGUUGAGACCAUUGGCUACCCCGCCGAGCACUGAGCAGUAGUGCGAAAGCGCACGCCGUGUGGCAUCUUGCAUGGCCGCCUUACCCGAGUCUCGCUCAGAGAUGGAAUACUGCUCUAAGCAGAUCUCCGCUCCCCGGAGACUGUUCUCCGGACGGCGCACCAAGCAGGUCGCCUCCCAGCGGUCCGGGUAAACCCCGUGACUGUGCUGGAAGACCACACAACGAUACUCGAUGGACCAAGUAUGUCGGUCGAGUGCCUGGCGUAGCAGGGUGUCGAACGUGUCGUGGAAGUGACACCCACGAGCAGUGUCACGAGUGAUGGGUCGAGCAACCAAUCCUUCCAGCUCCUGGUCGGCUGAAAGGUCGGUGCUGAAGCUCAGGCUGCUAUUGCCACCUUCGUCGUCUGGGUCUCCUCCAGCAGCUACUCCAGUGGCUGGGGCGCUCAGUGGUGGUGCAGGGGGCGCCUCCAGCGGGAGCACAGGGGAGCAGCUCCUCACAGACUCUAUCUCCUGCUGAAGCGAGAAAGAGGAGCCCUGCUGCUCUAGCUCCUGUUGUCGAUGCUCCUGCUCCUCGUGCAGGCGGUGGUGCAGCCUCUCCAAAUGGCUAGACUGACCAGUCACUGGACGGCGAAGCGGACGCUCAGCGAAACGAGAGGGCAAAAAGGGAAUGACUGACUUCCGUGCAGUGUGUCUAAGACGAGCCAUCUACAAAAGACACCGUAAGCAUAAGAGUGAGAACAGAACUAAUAUGACCAUCAAGUAAACCAUAAAUAAAUGAGGAACGAGAAUAAACAAAAAAUUUUAGCAAGGUGUAAUAUAUAUAGUAGAACAUAAGUUUGGUCGAUAUGACCAACUUUUGAAGGGAUACCAAAGUCAAGGUAAGAAUAGGGGUCUUUAAUCCUUAGAACGACCAAUCUACUCUAGGUUAGCGGUCCUACAGUCAGCACAGCUUUGAUACCACCUAUGUCACACCCGGUUUUAGAAGGCAAACCGAAUGCGAACCAUGUACAUGCCAGGAUCAGCAAUUCACGUACACAGCAAUUACAUAACUGAAUAUCAUCACACAUUGCUCAAAUAAUAACAUAAAAGAGUAAUAAUAGUCGAUUACAUCAUAAUGUCUGAGACAUCCACAUAGUCUUUAACAAUAAUCAAAGUGCAAAAACGAAACGUACAUACACGCGGCCUUCACAGGCAGCCGACUGGGGGUUGCCGCUAACCCACGCCUAGAACUCGUCGUAAUCUUGGAACUCCUGGAAGUCUUCCUCCACGGCUUCAUCUUCUCCUGAGCAGUGAUUGCAACGUGGACAACCUAGGGAAGGGGGGGUUUGGUGUGUAGAGCAAGGGUGAGUACACAUCAACAUACUCAGCAAAUGUCCUGUUUGGCUGUAGUGGACUAGCUUUAUGUGGGGGUAAGUCAAGCAGUUGCUUUUAGUUGGUCAAAUUAUUAUUACUAGUAGAGAGAGCCAGAUUUUAGUAUUAACCCAAGUUGUUAACCCAAAAGUACCCUUUCCAAACUGAAAGAAUACCACUUACCAUUACCAUAGUCAAUACCAAAACCACCAUUCUCAUCGCCACCUGUAAUCCGAACAUCUCUGAUCAAGUAUCACUAAUCAAUGGAGCUCCCUUGGCCACUCAUAACCGCGAGCACGGCUGAUAUAUCAGUUUUCAUAACACUCUUCAGAGGUUGCACACUUUACCCACAAGUCGUGAUUCCCUUUCUGCCCAGAGAUCAUGACUCUCCAUUGAUCACUACCAAGGUGACCCAGCAGGGUAUCACUACGUAGCCAUUACAAAGAUUCCCCGGGGCUGUAGCCGCCCAUUAGGUUUCCUAAAUGCACCGCACUCCUCCCCAAUGGGCGAACCAACCUUGGCAGAGCGAGCCGCAUACACCGAACCCCAUUAAAGCACAACGACGAAGCGAACUACACCCUGGUUCCUCUAAUUAUUCAGCUAAGGGUGUCCCAUUCCACCCUCAUGGUUGCACUGUUUUCCCGGGCGGUCAUCCAACGAACAGGUCCUUACGGAGAGGCACUCGAGAAACCGCUCGAGUCCCCUUAAAUGCCACAAGUAUAUCAUCAUAAUAAAGAAGGGAAACAUCGUAUCAUUGAUAAACCUCAUCAUGUUCAUUGAUUAAUGUGAAGCACUAGCAUGAAGCUAAACCAGAAUAAUCCAACCCAAAUAGGUAAGCAAGGACAUGGAUAACAAAAGCUAGUCAAUCCUUAGGUAUAAACUGUGUAAAUGCAGAAAGUGAAUAAAGGAAUGUAUAGGACAUAGGUAGGUCAAGGGACACUUGCCUCCACCAACCAGCUGUUGCUCAGGGUCUUCUCCUGCGAGUUCUGCGGACUCCUCAACCAGACCGUUAUCUAUGCGAGCGCAAACGUACAUCCGUCUCUUUGAAUUAGGAAAUAAAUAGUACACCAUACAAGAGAGCAGAUAAAUCGAAUAUGCAUAAGAUAUGACAUACGAUUUGCAUUCGCAAUUGCUAGAAAGAGAAAAAGAAAGGUCUCGCAGUGGUUAAAGCUAUAGUUGAAGCGUAUUACGUGUAGGUGUGUAAUUAAUCAUUACUUCAUCUAGCUCUACCUAGCCAUACUAACAUGUAUUAAUCACAUGCACUAAUAGAGUUACAACUAUUUCCAAUUGGUCGACAUUAAACAAAGUCGAUGAUUAACUACGUGAGAUAAUUAACGUGAUCAAUUUUAAGUAGUGGGGCAAGUACAUAAAAUAAACGACACGUUCCAUGUGCAUAGAAUACAUGGGGGGGGGGUAGAUAGGUGUCUAGGGGUAGACGGGUAUCCACAAACGUGGCGGGGCGUUACGUGUCGCGUCGGGAGCACAGCGAACCACGCCAAGACUCCGCGCGCACCAUGCGAGCACUAGCGCGCGCGAGGCCGCACUGACGCGCCGUGAACGAGCCGCACCAGGGCCGAGCCACGUGCACGUCGCGCUACGCGCCGUGAGCAAGCAGCGGGGAUGCGCCGGGGCCGAGCCGCCAUGGCCAGGCCGCGAGCAGGCAGCGGGGCCGCGCCGGGGCCGAACACGCUGCGCGAACGGCGGGGAUGCGCCGGGGCCGACCGCGCCGCGCCGGGGCCAAGCCGCCAUGGCCGGGCCGCGAGCUGGGCGGGGCAGGGGCCACGGCCGCGCCUGGGGGCUGCCACGCCGAGGAGGGGUCAGGGCGGCUGCGCCGGGCAGGGAGGGGCCAGGACCGGGGCGCCAUGGUCACGCCGGGCCAGCGUGUCGGGGCAGGGCUGCCACGGCCGGGGGGGAGCACGAGGGGAAGCCGCACCGGGCGGGCGCCAUGGCUGGGCCGCGCGCACCGGGGCGAGCUGCCGCGCGGAAGGGGCAGGGCUGGGCGGGCCGCGCCGCGGGCAGGGGCAACGCCAGACCGCCACGCCGAGCCGGGCAGGGGGCCACGCCGAACGGGCGCGCCGGGGGCCGACGGGGCGGGGCUGCGUCGGGGUGGGCGCUCCGCCCCGAACGGGCACCGUGGCCGGGGAAGAAGGGAAGAAGAGGGGGGCGAGGGAGAGGAGGGAGAAGGGACUCACCGCGUGGGGGCGAGGGUGGCACCUGGGUCGGCGGUUCCGAGCGGCGGGCGCGGUGGAGGAGGGAGACGAGCUGCGCGAGGGGGAGAGAGAGACGUGUGUGGGGGUAGAGGAGAGAGAGAGAGGGAGGCAGUUUGGGGGGGUGGGGCUGACAGGUGGGCCCCACCAGGGGGUGGCGGCGCAUAACCGCCCUUGCGCGCGGCGCGUGGGGGACGCGGGGGAGCCGGCCGGGCCGCCGGGCGAACUGGGACGGGGGGGGGGGCGAGCUGGGCGACGCGCGCCGGCUACGACGUGGGGCGGGCGAGCUGGGCCACGCGCCGGCUGGGCCGCGGGGGGGCGAGGGGAGCCACGCCGGUUGGGCCGCGGCGGAGAGCCAGCCCAAGAGAAGGGGGGCUCGGCUGGGCUAAGGGGGGAGGGGGCGCGGCUAGGUGGGCCGCCAGAAGAAAAAGGGGAGAGAAAGGGCUUGGGGGUUUCUAUUUUCCCUUUUUUGCUCUAUUUCCUCACCUAGAUGCAUAUUUCACCAAUUCACUCAACCACAAACAAAAAGAUGCAUGAUCCGGCAUUGAUGCCACAACCAAAAGAAUUUGCCCUAGGGUUUUACUUACACAAGAUGUCGAGCUAAAUCUCGCUAUAACUUUGGAAAAGAACAAGGCAUAGCGAGAAGAAAAAUAAUGAGGAAAAGGUAACACCCGAAUUUGGCUAGUGAUGGAGAAAGAAAAAAUUUAACUCUCAAAUUCGGGGCAUUACAGUCCGGCCCGUCAGGCAGGAAACCCUAGCCCUGCGCUAGGUCGCGGACCGUCCGCGCCUGUGCAGAGAGCACCGCCGCCGGUUCUCACGUAGUGAUUGGCGCCCAAAAAGGCACCAACAGGUAGCUCUCGACUAAAGUUAGCUAUGGCCUCCCUAGUAUUUGCGAUUACUUUUAUAGCAAGAGGCAAAGAGAGAGAUGAUAUAAAAUCAUUUGAUAAAAUCUAGUACGUAUGAUUUAGCCAGAUAUCACCGGAGGGGUGAGAGCUCCCCAACCGAAAUAUUUCCCAGUGGUGGCCGUCACAGUCCCCUUUCAUUUAAGCAGGGCAGUGACGCAGUGUCGAGCUCGAGCCUAGAUAGCCUAAGUCCUCCUUUUGGUCGCUGAGCCUUGUCCCAAAGCCCAACUAACCAAGCAUCUAGCGGAAGAGGUUGAGGCUCAUCCUGACCAGAGGUUCUCCAGAGCCGCCACUAUCCCCAAUGGGGGAGCGAUCGCCGCUGCAAGGCCAUCUAGAGCGGUGUUGAGUACCAGCUUGCCGUGGUGACUGAGCAGUGCCGCCUACCAGCCACGGUUUAUAAAACCAUUUCACCCGUGAAACCCGGUAUUUAGACCGUCGGUAAACCGGUGGAAACCGGUAAAAACCGACCGGUUUGACCAAUUCCAAUCAAUUUGAAUUCGAACCAGUUUACCGACGAAAAAACGGUGAAAAACCGCCGGCAAACCACGAAACCGGCCGAUUUUUGCUGUUUUUAUAGAAAAAUGGAAAAUUUUGACAAGGUUUAUUUGUAGUUUGCUCAAUUCACAUUGCACAAUAAAUAUUAAUUGAUCCACAUGAUAUGUGUUCAUCAAAAUAACAUACAUAUGCAACCACAAACUCUAGUUCUCAUGCAAAAAACAACCAGCGAAUUUCACAAUACUCAAAUACAAGUUCUUUUACAACUCUCCAACGAGGCAACGAGACAUAGGUUGAUUUAUUUCACAAUACUCAUAUGUUCAGCUCGAAUCAUAGUGAUAGUACUCAGGCAUAUUGAAAGGGUCGGAUAUUGUUCCAAUCUGUCAUAGUGAUAGUAAUAGGUCUAUGCAAAAGAUAUGAGAUACAUUAGCGAGAAAAUAAGAACGAUAAAUAAAUACUUAUCCACAAAGCAAAAAAACAUACCGGUAUGUGUGUUUGAUGUUUGUGUAUUUUAGGUGUACCUCACCAAGUGUUGGACUUUUCUCCUGAUAAGCAAAUCUUAGGAACACAUACAGAAGAACUGGAGCUAAGAGUUCUAGAUUGGGUCUUGUCCAGACGGAUAGUUAUUAGAAGAACUGAAGCUACUUGAUCUACGGAUUCUAUCUUGGAUAGGAAAUGAAACCGAAAUUGACCACUAAAUGCCUAAACUGGAUCUGAGCUACGAGUUUCAUCUUUAUAUAUAGCAUAUAACAUCUUCACAUAUAGCAUAUAACUGUAAACAAGACUAAUAUGUCUAAAUUGACCAUUAAAUACUCAAUCUUGGCAUUAAAACCGGUUUCUCAGAAAAAAUUGACGGAUUACCGGUCUAAAAUAACGAUUUACCUGUCAACAAACGGUUUACAAGUGGUUUUCAGUUUUAUUGUUUUUUUUUCAAUUUUUUUACAUUUAAAACGAAUUUUGAAAAAAAUCAGUGGUUAACCGAAAAUGCACCCCGACAGUUUCGGUAAACCGACCGGUUUACCUCCGGUUUUCAUUGGUUCUGUAAACCAUGCUGCCAGCCAGCCAAAUGUUCGUCCAACCUAGAGAUCAAUCGGAUAAAAGCAGAGACAUUCAAUUUGACGUUGGAUUGGAUAUAUGUGGAAAAGUGGCUUGUUAGCACUACAGGGUGCGCACGAUGUUUUCUCUGUUGAACCGCGACAUGCACGAGAGUAUGGGUACGAGUACGAGUAUAGGUGCCCAAAUGGGGCUCGCCACGACCCGUCACAAGCACGUUAGAACCAACAACAAAUUGGGCUAGUGGCCAUCAGAACCCGACUUGGAUCAUUAUAAAUACUGAAUAAAUAAAAAUUGCAGAUAUAGAUAUACUACCUUUUGUAAAAUAAAAAAAUAUUUAUGCUAGAAACGCACAACGUGGAGAGCGUCACCAUGCUUUUCGCCUUGGCCGACAGGUGCGCCAGGGCUGCUGAGGGCCGAGCGUGGCACUAAGUUCUAAAGGACGGGGCCGCCCAAACGGGUGGCUUAGGAGCCGCUGCCCGGCGUAACGGUAAAAGGAGCCCUAGCUCGCAGCUGUAGCAUCCCAAAAAUUCAAAUCUUAAAAUUUUCUCAAACUCGCUCUAAAUUCAAAAUGAAUUUCAAAUUUCAUUUCAAAAUGUUUAUUUGCGAGUUGAUAUCAACAAAUAAAAUAUAGUGGUCUUUAUUUUCUCCAAAAUCCUCCUCAAAAUAUCCUACAAAUAUUUCCCGAGUAAUCCCCUUUAAGUUCUUUCCAGAAAUACUGCCCAGAUAUUUCCCCAAUGAUCCCCUCAAUUUCUUUCCAGAAAUAUUGCCCAAAUAUUCCACCGAUAUAUCUCCAAGUAUUUUCCUCUUGAGAAAUACCUUUAGAAUCAUUUUUCAAGUCCCUACAAAUAUUUUCUUCAUAACUUUCCUCAUGCUCAUACGUAUACGUACGCCUCCGGUGUCAUACGGUGAGCUCUACAAGCUAAUUACACUUAUACAAGACAAAUACAUGCUAAUCUCCCACUAAUCCUCUCAUCCUCCCACUAAUGCUCUCAUCCCUCCCCCUAAUCCCCCCACCAUGGCUAUAAAUAGAGGGGCAAGGGCCUCCUCUCAUCCCACUCCAAGCCAUUUCAUGGCAACUCUCUCCUCCCACACACACCCACUCCAUGUUCCACACAAGCACACACUAACACAAGGAUCGUCCGAUCGUUCUUCAAUCGUUCGUCCCCUGUUAUUAGUUUGUUCGUUCGUUCAUCCGAUCGUUCGAUCGUUCGUCCGAUCGUUCAUGGUUCGUUCGUCCGUUCGUCCGAUCGUUCGAUCGUUCGUCCGUUCGUUCGUCCAAAUAAUCUUUUUCCUACCGUUAUGCUACCGAAAUUCCGAUCGUUCGUUCGUUCGAUCAUUCGAUUGUUCAUCGUUCGUUCAUAGUUCCUAUUCAUCGUUCGUUCAUAGUCCCUAUUCAUCGUUCUUCCAGAUAAUCUUUGUCCUGCCGUUAUGCUGCCGAAAUUCCGAUCGUUCGUUCGUCCGAUCAUUCGAUCGUUCGUCCGUUCGUUCAUCCAAAUAAUCUUUUUCCUGUCGUUAUGCUGUCGAAAUUCCGAUCGUUCGUUCGUUCGAUCAUUCGAUCGUUCAUCGUUCGUUCAUAGUCCCUAUUCAUCGUUCUUCCAGAUAAUCUUUGUCCUGCCGUUAUGCUGCCGAAAUUCCGAUCGUUCGUUCGUCCGAUCAUUCGAUCGUUCGUUUGUUCGUUCAUAGUUCCUAUUCAUCGUUCAUCGUUCGUUCAUAGUUCCUAUUCAUCGUUCAUCGUUCGUUCAUACGAACUAUUCACCAUCACUAUUCACCAUUACUAUUCACUGACACUAUUCACCAUCGUUACUAUUCAGUGUUACUAUUCAUCAUCGUUAAUACUCAUCGAUGAUAUCUAUGUAACUUUUUUUGUCGUCACUAUUCAUCGUUACUAUUCAUCGAUUAGCCGAUCACCCCAAAUUUCAACUACUCAUACAUCAUGUUGUCCAGUCCACCUAAGACCAGCCAGACCCAUAUUCCAGUCAUACGAACUCCGGUGACUGUGAUUUUCCUUCUAGUGGGAACUUCCCAUCUGGUCACCCAUCCUAGGUUUCUCCAAGUUGAGCAUGCUUAACUUUGAGAUUCCUUCGAACCAGGCUUCCAAACUCCGAUUCCAAUAAUUCUUGUUUCUAAAUUCUUAUCGAAUUAUUUCCUAUCCAACCAUGUAAUCCCUUAAGCAUGGUUCAUAUUCUAGAAAACUCCCAAAAUACUCUUGUCCCAUAUUCUGCCUAUAACUCUCCUGUUCAUACUAAGUCAGACGAUUCAUUCGUCACUAUUCUCACCAACAGUGAACUUCACUGUGCUACACCACAUACACCUAGCUAUAAAUACACCCAGCUACCCUCUCCCUCUCCACACACUCAACACCCUCAACCAAGGCAAACACCCCACCCACUUAGUUACUCUGCUCUGCCGGCUACACGCAUAGUGUCGCUUCGCCUCCAGUCCACCCUCCUGGUAAGCACCUCCGCUCCACCACUAGUAGUAUCUCAACACCACAUGACAUAGAUUCUACUCAAGACUCUACCCAUCCAUAUAUCGCUAUUCUGACCACUAUACUAAAUAUUUGUUGGUAUACUUGCUUGUUUGUAUGUUUGCUUGUUCAUGUUGCAUAGUUAUCGGAGCGUUCGUGCCGUCUCGUGGAGGCCAGAUCUGCAAGUCUACGCCAGGCAAUGGAGCUAGAAGCCAGUUCCGCGAGCUCUCCUUCCCCCUUCGCCGAAUAAGCACGACAAGCUCACUGGAUCCCUUUGAUGCAUAAAUUACCUAUGUUUUUCAACCACAACCCUCAGCCUGUUAUUUUAUGCAUGAUAUGAUUUUGAGACAAGUUAUUAUGGCCACCCAGCCGCUUGCCGCAAUCAAUCCCUGAUAUAUUCGUUACAAAUGAUUUGAGGAAAGAUGUGAGUUUCCAAAAGAAAAUGCUUUUCAAAAUUUGUAUGAUGAAGGUUUUCACCCUUAUCACCUUGUGAGUGGGAUAAUCAGGGACUCCCUGGUUUAGGGGAGGGCCUAAGGUGAUGGCUCAGCUAGUUUAGGCGUGAGCAGAAGGAUUGUCCCCUCUUAUAAGGACCGGUUUGUCAUCUUUCACUGCCUGUACUCCUUAAUACUACAACCACUCGAGACUGUGUGGGCAGUCACUCAAUCUGAACUCGUACGGUCCAACCCCAGGGUUAUGAAGGCUGGGGAGCACCGGGAGGAUAAGGAGGGGGAAUGUUUUGUCCGGUUUGGACAUGGCGGUGGCCUGACUCCUUCCGGUAUAACCAUUAAGGUUAGGACGUGCAAGGAAAGAAAGAGAUUCGGAUUCGGGUCUCACUAGCUAUGAGAUCGCAGAGCCGGACUAGUGGGUAAAGUGUACACCUCUGCGUAGAGUUUGAAAACCUAUUCGAAUAGUCUGUGUCCACAGGAAUGGACGAGUCUGGUGUGGUAUGGCAAUUAGUGUUUUUGUUUUAAAAAAAAGAGGUGCUUUUGAGAAAAGUGGUUUUUAAAAGGUCCGGCGGUUGAGCCGUGAGCUAUGGUGGACGGGAAGUCUGGUAGCUGUUUUUGAAAAUGAAAACCAGUGGGAAACUGCUGAGGUACCUGGAUGGUUUAGUCCAGAGGAUUUUGUUCUAAUAUUGAAAAACUUCCUACUCCUUUUGGAGAGGUUGCGCUUUGCAAAAAUACAAAAUGUUUUUCAAAACAACCCUGCAUAAAAUAUUGUUGUUUCUGCAAAAUAUCCUGAGCUCCGCAUAUUCCAUGCAUUAUAUCUGAUUUCCCCAUACCGUGGGUGAAGGUGGGCUGCUAAGUACGUUUGUACUCACCCUUGCUUAUUUGUUGUUUUUCAGAAAAAGGAGAUCGGGUAAGAGUUACGACUGUUCCCAACCUUGCCUGUGGCUGUUGGACCGCUGAUUUGCUUCGCUGCGUAUAUAGGGCUGCUUCAGCCCCACUCCGAUGAUAUGUCCCGAGUUGUGGACCAACUCUUAAAGUUGUUCGCCACCUUUGUAGGUUUGUCUCGUUUAAGCAGAUUUGGUAUCAUCUGAUGUAUAAAUGUGUUUACUAGCCUCCUGGGACUAGUAAUUGUAUCACAUUUGAGUCCCAGAGGAUUGGGGACGCUUCAGCAGCAUACCUCAUUAUUCACGUGAGGAAGAUGGAGAAGGGCUUCGACGCCUUGAAACUGCAACAUAUUCCUCGCGGCAACUCGGCAACAGGUGAACUCCCCGCGAGGGCAUCUGUCACACCCAGUUUUAGAAGGCAAACCGAAUGCGAACCAUGUGUGUGCCAGGAUCAGAAACUCACAUACACAACGAUUACAUAAUUGGACAUCAUCACAUAUUGUUCAAAAUAAAUAGCGGAAAGGUACUUUAUUACAUCAAGAUGUCUAAGACAUCUACAGAGUCAUUAACAUAACAUUGUCGUUACUAACAUCAUGGUACAGAAAAGCUAACGUAGCAGAUAAGGCCUUCACAGGUAGCUGAAUGGGGUUUUGCCACUAAUAUAACUAGAACUUGUCGUAGUCCUAGAACUCCUCAAUGUCCUCCAUGUUGCCUACAUCUCCUCUUGAGCACUAAAUACAGUAGGGACAACCUGGGGUGGGGUGAUGUUUAAAACAAGGGUGAGUACACAUCAACAUACUCAGCAAAUGUCCCGUUUGGCUAAAGUGAAUUGUCUGUAUGUGGAGUUAAGGUUAAGCAGUUGCUUUUAGUUGGUCAAGUAUUUAUUACUAAUAGUAGAGCCAAAUUUUAGUAAUAAACCCAGUUAUUACCCAAAUGUACUCCCUCCAAGAGAAAAUACCAGAGAUCAUAAUAUAACCAUCAUCAUUAACCAUCAUCAUAAAAAUAUCCAAAGUUCUUCUAAUCAAAGAGGAUCCCAAGGCUGCUCUUAAUCGUGAGCCCGGCUAAUAUACCAGUUUCUAACACUCUACAGAGGUUGCACACUUUACCCACGAGUCAUGAUCCCCUUUCUGCUCGGAGAGUGCUACUCCCCAUUGACCACUACCUAGGUGGCCUGGCAGGGUAUCACUACGUAGCCUUUACAAAGACUCCCCUAGUGCAUAGUUGCUCGUUAGGUUUCACCAGUCGUACAAACACAGUACACCUCCCUAAGGUGGGUGACUAACAAAACCAAAUCGAAUGAACCUCGGCACCCACCCUUAUCAGAGCGAGCACUAUGCCCUGGCCCCCAUUGACGGCCCUCCAGCAAAGCCAACUACACCCCCAGGUUCAUCUAAUUAUUUAGCUAAGGGCGUCUCAUUCCACCCUCAUAGUUGCACUGUUAUCCCGGGUGGUCACUCAACGAACAGGUCCUUACAGAGAGGUACUUAGGAAAUAGCCUGAGUCCCCUAAAGUAUCACAAGAUCAUCAUUGAGAUAACAACAUUGUAUCAUAAAUAUUUACAUCAUGUUCAUUGAUUAAGUUAAAGCAAUAGCAUAAAGCUAACCAUAGUAACCCAAAAAAGGUAACAAGGAUAAAGUAAAUACAGACUAGUCAGUCCUUAGGUUUCAAUAAUGUAAUGUAAGAUGGUAGUAAGUAGGACAUAGUAGGUCAGAUGACACUUGCCUUCACCAGGUUGUUGCUCAUGAAGGUCUUCGACAACACACUCAGGAACCACGGGUUGCUCGUCAUCUAAAUAAAGCGAUCAUGCAUUCAAUACAUUUGGAUAAAGACAAAUGAACAACACACCAAUCAUGUACAAACAAGUGAACACAUCUCAAAAGAAUAGUAUAAACUCAAGAGGUAGUUUAGGUUAUAGGGUGAACUAACACAUUUAGUAGUUUAUUAUUCUCUAAGUGUUGUCUAUCUCCAUGGACUACAUAAUUAGAUUUCACUAAUUUAACAAGACACAAAAUUACACCAGUGGUAGAUUCAUACUUUACAUAUUAUUAGUAUCAAAAGGUUAAACAUCUAAUUACCAUUAGGGUUUCCUUUUUAUUUAUCUUAUUAAGUAAAUAAACUAUUACAUAAACUAACCUAUAGCCUAGGCAUAAAAUUAGGAUGCACAGAAAGUGAAUGAUCAUACUUUAUUUGGACAGAGAAUAAUUCCAUGAACAUUUUGCAAUUCGAAUCACUCAAUUUGGAGUUCAUAUGCAAAAGAUAUGAAAUAAACAAGUUUUGAAGUUUAAAAUACAAAAUUAGGUCCAAUUAUGACGGGCUGGACGACCGGCACGACGGGCGUGGAACUUCGGCAAGGGCAGAGCGCGAGAGAGGGUGAGCUUGCGUGAAAUGAGGCAGUGGAGAGAGAGAGAGGGAGCGAGCGGUGCUCAAAAAGGAGCUGGGGCGCGUGGGCAGGCGACGUGGCCAGGGUUCUCGACGUGCGUGUGCGAUGGUCCACGGCGGUUCUUGGGGAAAGUGGAGCUGAUAGGACGGUCCCACGUCACAAAGAGAGGGAGCAAGCGCGCUGGGGAAACGACUCAUUGCGCUGACAAGGCGGACCCGCGAGGCAGGGAGGGAAUGGGGGCGCGCAGGCGAAUGGCACCGAUAAACUGGCCCCACUAGGCAGAGGGAGGGGGGAAGAGAGAGCACGGGGAAGGAAACCGCCGCUGACAGGUGGAGCCCACCUGUCAGGCGGCGAGGGCGCGCGCGGCCUCGCUGGGCCGGACUGGGCCGGUUGGGCUGAAAUCGUUUUUCCUUUUUCUCUGGAAUUUCUGAUGCCUUUUAUUUUUAUUUUCCCUAUGGUUUUCAAAUCAAAUUCAAACACCAAACCAAAUUCAAAUAAUUUCAAACAUGUGCACCAAACAAAAGAAUAAUUUAGGCUCAACAUGAUGCAACAAUUCAUGACUCACGUAAUUUUGACAAAAUAAAUAAUUAAUCCCUCACUUAAUUAACCUAAUUCUACUCAAAAGGAAAAGAGAGAGAGAGACUAGAUAGAGAGAGAGAGACAAAGGGUAACACCUAAAUUUGGUAGGCAUUUAGAGAAUAAAUUUUAUACCCCUAAAUUCUGGGUGUUACAGCAUCUACUUGGGCAUCCGUGCCUGAGGUCGUCUUCGAAAGACGGCUACUGAGACCUACCGCUCAACCCGCCAAACUGGGUGAAGGGGCUGAGACUAGAACAUCAAAGCUAGCAGUCCCAACGGCGUUCCAUCCAUGGAGCCCGUUAAAGAUUGGGUGUGCUACUAGCUAGGUCCCCGGUGACCUCUUAGCACCACAUCCAAUUGCUCAGGGGGGUCCCAAUGCAUGGAUCUCAGAGAUCCGACACCACCUGAAAGACAACAUUGAAAGUUACCUAGAGGAGGGGUGAAUAUGCGAAAUCUGGACAUUAUAAACUUUAAACACAAACUUCACCUGGAGUUAGCGUUAGAACAGGUAAUAAUGAAAUCAGAGUGUGGAAAAUGGUUCUCCUUGCCACGAAUUGCUCGAUUAAUGUGUGGAUUUACUUUAGGAGCAACUGAAAAGGACAAGCAAGAGAAUUUUAGAGAGAGGGGAGAAGAAGAAUCAAAUCACAAGGUAAUGGUCAACAUAAAUGAACACGACAAUUUGUUUCCUGAGGUUCGGUUCCGAAGAACCUACUCCCCGUUAAGAAUGCCUUGUAGGUCGGGUCUCUUUCAACCCUUUCCCUCUCUCAAAUGACCACUCAGACCGGUUGAGUGCUUCUUCUUAAUCUCGAGGAUCACUUAGACCCCGCAAGGAUAACCACACAAUUAGGUGUCUCUUGCUAGCUUUACACUUGAGAGCUUUGAAGGAUAUGAAGAAAGCACAAUCAAGAAAACCAAGCAACAAGAGCAACAAGAAAAACACAAAAUUACACUCUCUCUAGACUUUCCAACGCACUAAUCACUAAUGACCACUAGUCACAAUUAUGACACUUGGAAGAGUUUGGGAGCAUUAAAUGUGUCUUGGGAUGAAAUGCUUGCUCUUGUAUUGAAUGAGAAUGAAUGGAAUGCUUGGAUGUGUUGAAGGAGGUGGUUGGGGUUGUAUUUAUAGCCACCAACCACUUCCUAGUUGUUGUCCAGUUUCUGCCAACCAUGGACGGUCUGCGCACCUAACACGGACGGUCUGCCCCUACAUAUCAACGGCUUAAAUCGCAACAGUUAGUAGUAACAUCUAUAAGUGCAUUAAAUGUGUCGUUAGAUGUCAGAUAAAUAAGUCAUAGACGGUUCGAUCGUGCAACCCCGGAUGGUCCGUGAGGACGCUAUAAUUCCUUUUUACCGAGCUUCGCACCUUCGGGUUUCUUUGGUUUGCAAUGAGUGGACGGUCCGGGCCUGAGACCGGACGAUCCGCACAUGGUGCCGGACGGUAUCCACUUAUCUGUCAUAACCACUCCCAGAAUGGGUUCAGGGGCCAAUGUCGGUACCCUGAAACUGGGGUACCCUCUCCUACUGUGCCAAAGGUAGAUACACGUGUGGUUACUUUUAACCGCGUGAAAGUCUCCUAGAGGGGGUGAAUAGGCGAAACCUAAAAUUUAUAAAGUUAAACUUGCACUAAGGUCGGGGUUAGCGUUAGAAUUAAAUUCAAGUGAGGAAGAUUGUUUCUCUUGCUAAGAGUUGCUCAAUAGAUGCGAAUGACGAUUGGGAGCAAACACAAAUCAAUAUUAGCAAGGAAACUUUAGAGAGAGGAAAGAGGGAAAACAAAUCAAAUGGAAAUCAACACAAGUGAACGCGGUGAUUUGUUUUACCGAGGUUCGGUUUCAAAGAACCUAGUCCCCGUUGAGAAGGCCACAAAGGCUAGGUCUAUUCCAACCUUUUCCCUCUCUCAAACUGUCACUUAGACCCGAUGAGUCUUCUCCUUAAUCAAUCGGGUCACUAAGACCCCUUAAGGACCACUACACACUUAGGUGUCUCUUGCUAGCUUUGCAAAGCAAUUAGAGAAUAAGAAUGGGAAAAGAGAAGGCAAUCCAAGCGACAAGAGAACACAAAUAAUCCUCUCACAAGUCUAUAUGCACUAGAGUUGAUUUUGGGAGCUUGGAGUGGAUUGAAUGCUUUGAAUGUGUAUUGGAGUGUUUGGCUUAGCUCUUGCAAUGAAAAUGGAGUUCAAAAAACUUGGAUACCAAUGAAUGAGGUGCAGUAGUGGAGGGCAAAGAAAAAAUGUGGUAUGGCUGAAAAAAUGAAAUCUACAAGAAUUGUGAAUCGAACUCAAGCCCUGCUGCUAAAAUCGAGGCAACACAUCCACCACAACGCGUCUUGUUUUGUGUUUAUAGUGGAAGAUAUAAGAGUUUUUAAAAGUAAGGUAUGGUUGAUGCCACACUAAGCCAUAAUGGCUCCUCUGCCAUUGAUGAGGUGGUUGGGGCAUUUAUAGCCUCCAACCACUUCCUAGCUGUUGGCUGUUUUUGCUGGCGAUGGUCACACCAGACAGUCCGGUGGUGCACCAGACAUCUACUAUUCACUGUCCGGUGUGUGCCACGUCAGCAUACCCAUCGGGGUUUGGAGCGAGUUGACCGUUGGAACCCUUGUCCUAUAGCUGCACAGGACAAUCCGGUGCAACACCGGACAUGUCCGGUGACCUCUGGCUUUGCUGCUCUGACUCUGUCGUGCACUGUUCACUUCAUUGUUUGCUUUUGCAGGCGACCAUUGCGCGUAGUGACCAUUGCGCCGCUGGCUCACCGGACAUGUCUAGUGCACACCAAACAGUCCCUUGAAUUAUAGCGGAGCGCACCCAGAGAAUUCCUGAGAGUGGCUGGUUUGCUUUGCGUGCGAGCCUGGUGCACCGGACACUGUCUGGUGCGCCAAUGGCAGCACACUCUCAAGUCCUUUGCCCCAAAUUUGUUUGUGUCCCCAACUGAAUUUCUUUCUUGGUUUGUGUUGAACCUUAUGCACCUGAGAUAAAUGACAUCUAGGCAAACUAGUUAUCCACGUGGUUUGUGAUGGACAUCAACCACCAAAAUCGAUUACGGGGCGUUUGGAUCCCUUCAUUUUAGAGGAAUUGGAAUUCACUCAAUAAAGUAACUUAUUUAGUUUGGAAUUUGACAUUCCACCACUUUCUAGAGUUUAGAUAUAAGCCUAUCUCAAAUUCAUGGGGUGGAGGGUGGGAAAUGAUUUUAUGCAUUACUAGAAUUGGUUUCUAAUCUAUAACUUACAUGACAUUCUUCGUUUCACUCACCUAUAGUAAAAAUGUAGCACAUAAAUAUCUCCGACAUCUUGCUAAUAAUAGUAUACAAAUAUAUUUUGCAUAAAACUGAAUUAGCUUAAUUAAUAUAUGCCUAAAUUACUAUUAUUAGAAUGGAAUUCAAUUCCAGUGAUCCAAACGGGGCGUUAUAGGAAAUGAUUAAGUCCAUUUCCCUUUCACCGCGUACUAAGGAACCGAGCAGCCGGACCCAUGGGACCAUACCCAUAUGAUGAGACCAUUGGCCUCGAGACCCGCUCCCCACUCAGGAAUAGGUCCGGUGCUUCUACAUUGGCUAAUUAACUAGGAAAGCUAGUGGAUGACUACCUUACCCGAUAGGGGCAAGGGCAGUAGGGGAGUGGUCAGUGUAGGGAGGUCCUUGGGUUGAUUUUGCUGCGACGGCGGUCAGGUGAGGGAUCCCUGCACUGGAGCUUCCUAUAAACUGUAGCGGGUUUUCUGAAGCUAGUGGAACUUUGUAAAGGCCUCGUAGUGUUACCCUGCCUCGCCUCCUCAGUAGAGGUGUAUGGGAUUGGUCGUCUUUUGGUAUAUGGGUAACAUGACUUGUGGGUAAAGAUGCGCAACCUCUGUAGAGUGUAAAACUGGUAUACUAGCCGUGCUCACGGUCAUGAGCAGCUCGGACCCUCACAUGAUUAAUCUAUGGAAUUAAAACUCAAUUUGUCAUUUGCAUCACUUUGGGAUUAUUUUAUUAUUACUUUUAUUUAUUAUUACUAUGGUUUGGUAUUUACUUACACUUAGUAAUUGCUAAUAAAAUUUUGGCCAACUUAUAAAAAGCAAUGCUCAGCUUCAACCUUUAUUUUGUUGAUCAGUCUUACACUUCACAUGAACUCCCACCUUUAGUGAGUUCAUGCACAUUAUUCCCCACAACUUGUUGAGCGUAGUGACCAUUGAGCAUUGAUAUAAGAAUGAAUAACUUUCUCAAUGGUUUAUUUUUUCUUUUAUUUAUCUGAAUAUUCAUUCCAUUUAGACCAUUCGCAAGCAAGCACGAAAAAGCUUCUAUUUCUAAACGGAAACGCUCAAUACAUCGAAACUCAUUACCCAUGGGCAAAGCCAGUCGAGAAAAAAGAAAACAAACAUGGUUUAGCGGAUUCGGAAUUGUAACCAAGCAUCCUGGGUAAUGAGUAGUGAUUGUUUGCGUGCACUGUUCACUUCAUUGUUUGCUUUUGCAGGCAACCUUUGCACGUAGUGAUCAUUGCUCUGCUGGCUCACCGGACAUGUCCGAUGCACACCGGACAGUCCCGUGAAUUAUAGCGGAGCGCGCCUAGAGAAUUCCCGAGAGUGGCUGGUUUGCUUGUGCGCGGGUCUGGUGCACCGGACACUGUCCAGUGCGCCAAAGGCAGCACACUCUCAAGUCCUUUGCUCCAAAUUUGUUUGUGUCCCCAACUGAAUUUCUUUCAUGGUUUGUGUUGAACCUUAUGCACCUGAGAUAAAUGACAUCUAGCCAAACUAGUUAGUCCACGUGGUUUGUGAUGGACGUCAACCACCAAAAUCGAUUAUAGGAAAUGAUUAAGUCCAUUUCCCUUUCACCGCGUACUAAGGAACCGAGCAGCCGGACCCAUGGGUCCAUACCCAUAUGACGGGACCAUUGGCCUUGAGACCCGCUCCCCACUCAGGAAUAGGUCCGGUGCUGCUACGUGUCCUAGGGGUGGAAUUGUCCACUGACUACUACUAUAAGUCUGGACCCCCCAGGUGGUUCCUAAGCCUCCACGUAUGAUGUCUAGACCCCCGCAAGCGGGUCCCAGACCGCCACAUGUGCCAUCUGGACUCCUAGCACGGGGCCCUAGGUCUUCAAGCUAGCAUGUGCUCUUGGCCCCCACUCUCCGCUCAGGAAGAGGUCCGAAACUGCCAUGUGGCUCGGCGCGUGACACAAGCCUUCGGUUGAAAGCAAGCUUGCCUGCCUGCAUUUAAUGCAAGCGGCUAAGGCGUGCUUUACUGUGCAUAGAGCAUGGGUAGGCUUUUGUCAGGCUGCACAGGACCGAAUGACUGUUUCACAUGUUACCAAAGCAAAUAGUGUUGUCGGCGUGCCGAGUGCUGACGGACCGCAUAGUAAGCCACGCGUUACCAAGGUAGACCUUUGUGUCUCGACACCACGCGCUUGGGUGGUGCCAUCAUGAGUAGCUGUUGCUAGGGAUGGCAAUCAAGUGGGUAGUAUGCACAUAUAUAGUUCGUGAAUCCAUACCCGCGAGACAAAACUCAACCCAUACCCGUACCCAUAAAUGUUCGUGGGUAUGAAUCUCUACCCAUACCCGUACCCACCGGGUAUCCGCUAUCCGGCGGAUACCCGUUACCCGCCCGCCCACUACGAUUUUAGCAUUCAACAUCAAACAACAAUUUUAUCACAUUUCAAAAACAAUUAUCAUUCCAUCAUCAUCAAAUGACAAUUUCAGCACCAAUCAACAUGUCAUAGAUAAAAGUUGAAAAAAAUAGAAUUUAGGAAAAUAUAUUAAAUCUAGAUGGCCCAUAUGUCAGAUAUCCAUUGGAUAACGGGUAUGGAUACUGGAUAUCCAUACCCACGAAAAAUUUAUCUGCGGAUACAUUGUUAUAUCCAUAAUUGUACCCACAGAUACCAAAUUUCACCAUACCCAUAUCCAAUGGAUAAUUAUCCACGGUUAUUUACCCAUACCCGUACCCAUUGCCAUCCCUAGCUGUUGCCUUAGACAAAGCGCGCAUAGGUCAUUCACAUUAACUCUGUCGCACAUCAGCAUGGUUAGUCCCUACAUACGUCAGCAUAUCAGACUCCACACCAUAACUGACUCGAGCCAGCAGACGGGGCGGGGGCACGUUUGGUCAAAAGAUUCGCACUUUGACAGAAGGGGAAAAUCUCCAUCUGCCAUGUCACUUAAAACUCCCAGGUGUACAUUAGUUAACACUGGUUCGCUGGACCGACCUGUCGGGGCUCAACACCUUUGUACGUGCCCCUCUAGGACUAUAAAAGGGAGCAUGGCCAGUCCCUACAUACGUUAAUAACCGACUCGAGCCAGCAGACGGGGCGAGGACACGUCUGGUCGAAAGAUCCGCACGACAACAGAAGGGGAAGAUCUCUAUCUACCACAACACUUAAGACUACACGGUGUACAUUACUUAACACUAGUUCGUUGGGCCGACCGUCGGGACUCAACACCUUUGUACAUGCUCCCUAGGACUAUAAAAGGGAGGGGACAUGUGAUGCAAAAGGACAUGUACUCUCGAACUCAGACUCAAUCAGUAGUUGUUUUUUUCACUAACAAUUACUGUGCUAAUUGAUAAUUUCUAAAGCUGAGCGAUGAAUGACUGAAAGAGCAUAAUGUUAGUAAUUACUGAACGUUCCACCAGUAAUUACCGAACGUAUCUUCACUACUGAAGUGAUAAAUUACAGAAUGUGUCAUCAAUAAUUGUUAUUUUUGCACUAACAAUUAAUGUGUUCGUUGAUAAUUAAUGAAAUUGAAUGAUGAAUGACUGAAAUAGCACAAAUUACUGAAAGAUGACGUGCCGAGUGGAGCGACGCGCGGGAGUCACGGGUGGGCACACGCAGCUUGUAGUCCGUUAGUGAAUUUUGGACCCAUAAUGAAAGUCGCCUAGAGGAGGGUGAAUAGGCGAAACCUAAAAUUUAUAAACUUAAACUUGCACUAAGGUCGGGGUUAGCGUUAGAAUUAAAUUGGAGUGCGAAAGACAGUUCUCUUUGCUUAGAGUUGCCCAAUCAAUGCGGAUGGUCUUUGGGAGCAAACUCAAAUCAAUAUGAGCAAAGGAACUUGUAGAGAGGGAAAACAAAUCAAGUGAAGAUUGACGAGUGAACAUGGUGAUUUGUUUUACCGAGGUUCGGUUCCAAAGAACCUAGUCCUCGUUGAGGAGGCCACAAAGGCCGGGUCUAUUUCAACCCUUUCCCUCUCUCAAUCGGUCACUCAGACCGGUUGAGUGCUUCUUCUUAAUCUCACGGGUCAGUAAGUCCCCGCAAGUAUCACCACACAAUUAGGUAUCUCUUGCAAACUUUACAAAACACUUAGAGAGUUUAGAGAGAGAGAUGAAGAAAGCACGAUUGCGAAAACCAAGCAACAAGAGCGACAAAUAACACACGGAUCACACUCUCUCAAGUCACUAAUGAUCACUUGUCUAAAUUGUGAAACUUUGAGAGGUUGAAAGCUUUGAGUGUGUCUUGGAGUGGACUGCUAGCUCUUGUAUUGAAUGUGAAGGAGUGGGGUGCUUGGGUUGAGUGAAUGGAGGUGGUUGGGGUUGUAUUUAUAGCCUCCAACCACUUCCUAGCCGUUGCUUCAUUCCUGCCGACCGCAGACGGUCUACGCCCCUGGUUCGGACGGUCCGCCCCUGCACAUCAACGAUUGAAAUCGCAACGGUCAGCAGUAACAACUAUAUCAACGGCUAUAGAGCAUUUAAUGCGUCAUCAGAUGUCAGAUAAAGCAGUCGCGGACGGUCCGGCCGUGCACCCCGGACGGUCCGCGAGGAUGCUAAAAAUGAAUUUUACCGAACCCAUCACCUUCGGGUUUUUCUGGUUUUUUCAACGACCUAACGGUCCGCGCCCCUAGUCCGGACGGUCCACGCCCCUAGUCCGGACGGUCCGCCCCUGCACAUCAACGACUGAAAUCGCAACGGUCGGUAGUAACGGCUAUAGAGCAUUUAAUGCGUCGUCAGAUGUCAGAUAAAGCAGUCGCGGAUGGUCCGGCCGUGCACCCCGGACGGUCCGCGAGGACGCUAAAAAUGAAUUUUACCGAACCUGUCACCUUCGGGUUUUUUCUGGUUUUUUCAACGACCGAACGGUCCGCGCCUGAGGCCGGACAGUCCGUGCUUGGUCUUGGAUGGUGCUUGCUUCUCCAUCGAACGAUACGUAGUGUUGACUUGCGUUUUUUGCAGUGUUCCUGUCCGAGGCUCACCUUGAUGUCGCGGACGGUCCGCCGCAAGGGCCCGGACGGUCCGUGCAUAGGUGUUUUUCUAAAAAGCUUCUCCUGUCCGGAAAGUCGACUUAGAAUAGUUGUAUAUGGACUUAUGCACCUGAGAAAUGAUUAACUAGGCAAACUGUUUAGUCCACAAGGUUUGUGAUGGUCGUCAAACACCAAAAUCGAUUAUAGAAAAUGUUGAGGUUAUUUCCCUUUCACAUAACAAUUUGGCGGGAUGGCUGGUUUGCUUGAUGGGACGUUUGACUAUGUCGGUACCCUGAAACUAGGGUACCCCUUGCUACUGUAUAAAGACGCAGUACCCACGCGGAUAUCUCUUAGUCGCGUAGUAAAGGUGCUGUGUGUGGGACCGAGCCAUGACUCGUCCCAGCCUCGGGCGACUACUCUGGGUCCACAAUAGCGCCUGACCUCACCACAAGGGCGGGUCCGGAGCCGCCAUGUGUCCAGAGAAAGUGAUAUACCACAAAGCCUCAACAGUGAGUCCGGACCCCCAUGGUAGAGUGCCGGACCCCUGGAUAUAAAGUCCAGACCUCCAAGGUUGGUCCAGGACCUCCACGUGUGCAAGUCGGACCACUAGAAUGGGAUCCGGACCCCUCGUAUGAGGUCCGGGCCGCCCACAAUGGGGUCCCAAGGUCCCAGGAUAGAACAUACUCAGGCCUUGAACAGGACUCAGGCGGGGGUCCGGUGCCGACACGUAUCCGGAACUAGUCUGGUGGGUUCCGGACCUGUCUGCAUACACUCCUGCCCCCCGCUCAGGUGGAGACCCAUUGCAGCCACGUGGCAUACUGCGUGCGGCUUAAGCCAACGGGCAGAACCUAGCAUGACGCCUCUGGGCUAUGCGCGCCUCCACAUUCAUUACGGAUAACACGUGCGCCUGUCCAUUCCACUGACAGGUGGCAUGCACAGUCCACGAUACGUGGGCCGUGCUAUUAUUUACCAUUACUCGUACAUUUCGGCUAUCAAUGCUGCAUGGACUAUGGUCAUCAAGACUCCUGGUGAUUGCUCAGGCAUUACUAGCAUUAAUUACUCACAUAAUGUAUUCCUUCUGUUAUGCUCCUGGGCCCGCAUGUCGGGGCUCAGCAUUCUUGUAUGUGCCUUCCCUUAGACAAUAAAAGCGAAGGCACACAACGUUACAAGGACAGGCUCUCAAGCACACAGACAUAAGCUCAUACUCAUACUCAAUAUAGCAUACACACAGUGGAGGUAAGGUAUUACGCUCCGACGGACUGAAACACUCUAAACCCUCAUGUCCUCGUGUGUUCAUCCAUCUUCCAAUAGACAGGCAAAACGCUUAAGCCCCCUCCUCAUCUUAGGAUUAGGGCGGGUGCGUUCCGCCACCCGGGCGGAGGAUUUUCUCUCCGACAUUUGGCGCGCCAGGUAGGGGCUUUGGCAUUAGGUUUUUCCCUGUUUCCUUGCUCGACACGAUGGUUCAAAUCGUCGAGCAUCGUGACUUCGUUCCCAAGGACUUUCCAAUGGAGGAAGAGGUUGCAUCUUCUAUGCCAUGGGGCUCCAACUGCCCUGCACCUGGUGCUGCUGCUGUGUGCGCUCCACAGCAGCACACGCGUGCGCAGACAUCCUGGGCUCUGUCAAGGGCUGCUCCUGGGGCGUUGUCUGCAACCAGGGAGUUGUUAUGCCACCCUCCAAGUUCCACGGCCUCGCCGGGGGCCAUGAAGCAGUGACAUGACGAUGUCGACCGUCUCCUCGGCAUGGCGCAUUCUGGCUCGGCCAGACCCAGGCCUCGGUCAUUUCGGCGUCAACAUGAGGCAUCGGCGUCAGUGCGCUCACCCUCAGUGAAGGCCGCACCGACUGAGGACCUGCGGGCAGGGCUCAACCGUAGGCGUGCGGGUGAGGAUGUUCCAAUCUCUCUAGAGAGGCCUGGUGACCUGUGGGCAGAACUCAACCAUAGGCGUGCGGGCGAGGACGCACGAGUCUCUUUGGAGAGGGCGCGUGAGCGCUGGCUAAACUUCGAGGGUCACAACCUCGACCAGGACUUCGCUCCGCUUGCGCCAUAAACUCCAAGGGGUGCCCGAAUCCACAUGGGUGUCCCAUUGGUCGGCGUGGGCUGUGCCGCGCUAGCGGAUCACCUCCACGCGGCGACUUGGCUGCCCAAGUUCUGGCCGCACCUACCGGAGAAGUAUGACGGUACGUCAAACCCGUCGGAAUUCUUGCAGGUCUACGUCACCGCCAUUACGACAGCCGGUGGAAACACUGUCGUAAUGGCGAGUUACUUCCAUGUAGCCUUGACCGGCCCGGCCCGGAUCUGGCUCAUGAACCUGACCCCGGGAUCCGUCUACUCCUGGGAGGAGCUCUGUGCACGGUUCACAGUGAACUUUGCUAGUGCUUAUCAACAGCAUAGCGUGGAGGCUCAUCUCCAUGCCGUAAGGCAAGAACCCGGGGAGACCCUCCAGGCUUUCAUUGCUCGCUUCACCAAGGUACGAGGGACUAUACCUCGUAUCUCCGAUGCCUCCAUUAUCACUGCUUUCCGACAGGGGGUGCGUGAUGAGAAGAUGUUAGAGAAGCUAGCGACGCAUGACGUGGAAACCGUCACCAUGCUCUUCGCUCUGGCCGACAAAUGUGCUAGAGCUGCCGAGGGUCGUGCAUGGCACUUAGCACCACAGACCGGAGUUACCCAGACGGGUGGCUCGGGAGCCGUCACCCAGGGCAGCAACAACAAGAAGAAGAAAAACCGCGGCCACGAGAGGCCGCAGUCUGCUGCUCCGAUCGUCGCAGCUGCGACUGGGGGCCGGAACGAGCGCGGCAAGCACCCACGACCAUAGGGGGCCAACAGUGGGUCAUGCCCUGUGCAUCCCAACAGUCACCACAGCGCCUCGGAAUGCCGCGAGAUCAUCAAGCUCGCGAAGCGCAUCAGCGAGCGGCGCGAGAAGGCUUCCAAGGAUGGCUCGCCGCCUCGUCGCUGACCUAGCAAGGAGAAGGUCGACGAAGGUGACGCGACCACGGGAGAACGGGACCUCGGGUAUCAGUCACCUGAGGGGGUCCUCAAGGACGUUUUCACUGGAGACUCUGACUCUGGUGACGACAACGACCAUCGCAAGAAGCUGUACGUGAUGUACGGCGGGAGCUAAAAGCUCACCUCUCGCAGGAACGUCAAGUCCCUGCGCCGAGAGGUCCUUUCGGCGGUCCCAAGGGUCCCGAAGGCUGCUCCACAUCAGCGGUGGAGGAGCACCACUAUCUCCUUCGGGGCAUCUGACUACCUCGAAAACAUGGCAGGGGCUGGUAUACUACCGCUCAUCAACGCCCCUGUCAUCGCCAACAUGCGGCUGCGGUGUCUUGUACUCAUCAAGCAUGGUUCUUGCCAUGUCCAAUAGAGUUCGAUUCUUCCUCUCCACUACACCAUUUUGUUGUGGAGUGUAGGGAGAAGAGAACUCAUGCUUGAUGCCCUCCUCCUCAAGGAAGCCUUCUAUUUGUGAGUUCUUGAACUUCGUCCCGUUGUCGCUUCUAAUUUUCUUGAUCCUUAAGCCGAACUCAUUUUGAGCCUAUCUCAAGAAUCCCUUUAAGGUCUCUUGGGUAUGAGAUUUUUCCUGCAAAAAGAACACCCAAGUGAAGCGAGAAUAAUCAUCCACAAUAACUAGACAGUACUUACUCCCGUCGAUGCUUAUGUAAGCGAUCGGGCCGAAUAGGUCCAUGUGUAGGAGCUCCAGUGGCCUGUCACUAGUCAUGAUGUUCUUGUGUGGAUGAUGAGUGCCAACUUGCUUCCCGGCUUGGCAUGCGCUACAAAUCCUGUCUUUCUCAAAAUGAACAUUGGUUAGUCCUAAAAUGUGUUCUCCCUUUAGAAGCUUAUGAAGAUUCUUCAUUCCAACAUGGGCUAGUCGGCGGUGCCAGAGCCAACCCAAGUUAGUCUUAGCAAUUAAGCAAGUGUCGAGUUCAGCUCUAUCAAAAUCUACCAAGUAUAGCUGACCCUCUAACACUCACUUAAAUGCUAUUGAAUCAUCACUUCUUCUAAAGACAGUGACACCUACAUCAGUAAAUAGACAGUUGUAGCCCAUUUGACAAAGUUGCGAAACAGAAAGCAAAUUGUAAUCUAAAGAGUCUACAAGAAAAACAUUGGAAAUAGUAUGGUCAGGUGAUAUAGCAAUUUUACCCAAUCCUUUGACCAAACCUUGAUUUCCAUCCCCGAAUGUGAUAGCUCGUUGGGGAUCUUGGUUUUUCUCAUAUGAGGAGAACAUCUUCUUCUCCCCUGUCAUGUGGUUUGUGCACCCGCUGUCGAGUAUCCAACUUGAGCCCCCGGAUGCAUAAACCUACAAAACAAUUUUAGUUCUUGAUUUUAGGUACCCAAACGGUUUUGGGUCCUUUGGCAUUAGAAACAAGAACUUUGGGUACCCAAACACAAGUUUUGGAGCCCUUGUGUUUGCCCCCAACAAACUUGGCAACUAUCUUGCCGGAUUUGUUAGUUAAAACAUAAGAUGCAUCAAAAGUUUUAAAUGAAAUAGCAUGAUCAUUUGAUGCAUUAGGAGUUUUCUUUCUAGGCAACUUGGCACGGGUUGGUUGCCUAGAGCUAGAUGUCUCACCCUUAUACAUAAAAGCAUGAUUAGGGCCAGAGUGAGACUUCCUAGAAUGAAUUUUCUUAAUUUUGCUCUCGGGAUAACCGGCAGGGUACAAAAUGUAACCCUCGUUAUCCUGAGGCAUGGGAGCCUUGCCCUUAACAAGGUUAGACAAGUUUUUAGGAGGGGCAUUAAGUUUGACAUUGUCUCCCCUUUGGAAGCCAAUGCCAUCCUUGAUGCCAGGGCGUCUCCCAUUAUAGAGCAUACUUCUAGCAAAUUUAAACUUUUCAUUUUCUAAGUUAUGCUCGGCAAUUUUAGCAUCUAAUAUUGCUAUAUGAUCAUUUUGUUGUUUAAUUAAAGCCAUGUGAUCAUGAAUAGCAUUGAUAUCAAUAUCUCUACAUCUAGUACAAAUAGAAGUGUGCUCAACGGUAGAUGUAGAGGGUUUGCAAGAUUUUAAUUCCACAACCUUAGCAUGUAGUAUAUCAUUCUCAUUUCUAAGAUUAGAAAUAGUAACAUUGCAAACAUCAAAAUCUUUAGUCUUAGCAAUUAAUUUUUUAUUUUCAGUCCUAAGGCUAGCAAGGGAAUCAUUCAAUUCCUUAAUCUUAGCAAGCAAAUCAUCAUUAUCAUUUCUAAGAUUGGGAAUUGAAGCAUCACAAACAUGAGAAUCAACCUUAGCAAUUAAUCUAGCAUUUUCAUUUCUAAGGUUGUCUAUAGUCUCAUGGCAAGUGCUUAGCUCACUAGACAAUUUUUCACAUUUUUCAACUUGUAGAGCAUAAGCAUUUUUUACCUUAACAUGCUUUUUGUUUUUCUUAAUAAGGAAGUCCUCUUGAGAGUCCAAGAGAUCAUCCUUCUCAUGAAUAGCACUAAUCAAUUCAUUUAAUUUUUCCUUUUGUUGCAUGUUUAGGUCGGCAAAAAGGGUACGCAAAUUAUUUUCCUCAUCACUAGCAUUAUCAUCACUAGAGGAUUCAUAUUUAGUGGAGGAUUUAGAUUUAACCUUCUUCCUUUUGCCAUCCUUUGCCAUGAGGCACUUAUGGCCGACGUUGGGGAAGAGGAGUCCCUUGGUGACGGCGAUGUUGGCGGCGUCCUCGUCGGAGGAGGACUCGGUGGAGCUCUCGUCGGAGUCCCACUCCCGGCAAACAUGGGCAUCACCGCCCUUCUUCUUGUAGUACUUCUUCUUUUCUUUCCUCUUUCCCUUCUUGUCGUCGCCCCUGUCACUGUCACUAGACAUAGGACAUUUUGCAAUAAAAUGAUCGGGCUUACCACAUUUGUAGCACACUUUCUUGGAGCGGGGUUUGUAGUCCUUCCCCUCCGGUGCUUGAGGAUUUGGCGAAAGCUUUUGAUGAUUAAAGCCAUCUCCUUAUUGUCGAGCUUGGAGGCAUCAAUUGGUUGUCUACUCGGUGUAGACUCCUCCUUCUUCUCCUCCGUCGCCUUGAACGCCACCGGUUGAGCUUCGGACGUGGAGGGUUCGUCAAGCUCAUUGAUCUUCUUUGAGCCUUUAAUCAUACAUUCAAAGCUCACAAAAUUCCUGAUAACUUCCUCGGGAGUCAUUAGUGUGUAUCUAGAAUUACCACGAAUUAAUUGAACUUGAGUGGGGUUAAGGAAAAUAAGAGAUCUUAGAAUAACCUUAACCACCUCGUGGUCGUCCCACUUCUUACUCCCGAGGUUGCGCACUUGGUUCACCAAGGUUUUGAGCCGGUUGUACAUAUCUUGUGGCUCUUCCCCUUGGCGAAGACGAAAGCGACCGAGCUCCCCCUUGAUCGUUUCCCGCUUGGUGAUCUUGGUGAGUUCAUCACCCUCGUGUGCGGUCUUGAGAAGGUCCCAAAUUUCCUUUGCAUUCUUCAACCCUUGCACCUUGUUGUAUUCCUCCUUGCUUAGAGAGGCGAGGAGUAUGGUUGUGGCUUGGGAGUUGAAGUGCUCGAUUUGGGCCACUUCGUCCGUAUCAUAGUCUUCAUCCCCUACGGAUGGUACCUGUGCUCCAAACUCAACAACAUUCCAUAUACUUUUGUGGAGUGAGGUUAGAUGAAAUUUCAUUAAAUCACUCCACCUAGCAUAAUCUUCGCCAUCAAAAGUUGGCGGUUUGCCUAAUGGAACGGAAAGUAAUGGAGUAGGUCUAGAUGUACGAGGGUGUAAGGGGAUCUUACUAAACUUCUUGCGCUCUUGGCGCUUAGAAGUUACGGACGGCGCAUCGGAGUCGGAGGUCGAUGUUGAUGAAGUGUCAGUCUCGUAGUAGACCACCUUCCUCAUCCUCUUGUGCUUGUCGCCUUUCCGAUGCGACUUGUGGGAAGAAGAUUUUUCCUUCUUCUCUUUGUGGUGUGAGGAAGAUCUUUUCUCCUUCUGUUUGGAGGAGUCCUUCUUCUUCUCCUUCCUCUUGGUGCGGGACUCUUCCGAUGAAGUGCUCCCUUGGCUUGUAGUGGGCUUGUCGUCGGUCUCCAUCUCCCUCUUGGUGUGAUCUCCCGACAUCACUUCGAGCGCUUAGGCUCUAAUGAAGCACCGGGCUCUGAUACCAAUUGAAAGUCGCCUAGAGGGGGGUGAAUAGGGCGAAACUGAAAUUCUCAAAAAUAAUCACAACUACAAGCCGGGUUAGCAUUAGAAAUAUAAUCGAGUCCGCGAGAGAGGGUGCAAAACAAAUCGCAAGCGAAUAAGAAGUGUGACACGCGGAUUUGUUUUACCGAGGUUCGGUUCUCGCAAACCUACUCCCCGUUGAGGAGGCCACAAAGGCCGGGUCUCUUUCAACCCUUACCCUCUCUCAAACGGUCCCUCGGAUCGAGUGAGCUUUCUCUUCUCAAUCACUUGGAACACAAAGUUCCCACAAGGACCACCACAAGAUUGGUGUCUCUUGCGUCAAUUACAAGUGAGUUUGAUCGCAAUGAAGAAUCAAAGAAAGAAGAAAGCAAUCCAAGCGCAAGAGCUCGAAAGAACACAAGCAAAUCUCUCUCUCUAAUCACUAGGGCGUUGUGUAGAAUUUGGAGAGGAUUUGAUCUCUUUGGUGUGUCUAGAAUUGAAUACUAGAGCUCUUGUAAGUAGUUGAGAAGUAGAAAACUUGGAUACCAUGAAUGGUGGGUGGUUGGGGGUAUUUAUAGCCCCAACCACCAAACUAGCCGUUUGGUGAGGCUGUCUGUUCGAUGGCGCACCAGACAGUCCGGUGCACACCGGACAUGUCCGGUGCGACAGCCACGUCACCAAUGCCGUUGGGUUCCGACCGUUGGAGCUCUGACUUCUGGGCCCGCCUGGAUGUCUGGUGGCGCACCGGACAUGCACUGUAGAUUGUCCGGUGCGCCAGUAUGGGCGUGCCUGUCCUCUGCGCGCGCAGCGCGCGCAUUUAAUGCGUCGCAGGUAGCCGUUGGCGCCGAAAUAGCCGUUGCCCCGCUGUUACACCGGACAGUCCGGUGUACACCGAACAGUCCGGUGAAUUUUAGCGGAGCAGCUGGAAUGAAUUACCGAGGCUGGCGAGUUCCGGAGGCCGCUCUUCCUUGAAGCACCGGACAUGUCCGGUGUACACCGGACAGUCCGGUGUACACCGGACAGUCCGGUGAAUUAUAGCGGAGUCGCCUCUGGAAUUUCCCGAAGGUGACGAGUUUGAAUUCAGAGUCCUUUGGUGCACCGGACAUGUCCGGUGGCACACCGGACAGCCCGGUGCGCCAGACCAGAGGUGCCUUCGGUUGUUCCUUUGCUCUUUUGUCAAACCCAAUACUUGGUCUUUUUAUUGGCUAAGUGUGAACCUUUGGCACCUGUAUAACUUAUACACUAGAGCAAACUAGUUAGUCCAAAGAUUUGUGUUGGUCAAUUCAACCACCAAAAUUAAUUAGGAACUAGGUGUAAGCCUAAUUCCCUUUCAAAAAGAUCAACAUCAAAUUUUAUACAUAUCUAUUUUAAAAUAUUAAAUUUGUUCUAACAGUUCGGAUUAUCACUUUCAUCCCUAAGGUAUUCUAUGUCCUUAAUCUCGUCUUUAUGGCAAGAAAUACUAAGAUUCCUUUAAACUUGGCGUCAUCUAGAAAACACUAAGAAAACUAACACCUGAACCACUCCCUCUGUCCAAAUUAGUUGUAAGAUAUUUUUUUUGUUGCCAGGAUCCUUAAUUUUCUCUGAAAAUCGCUUGGGUAUUGUAUUUUAGGACGAAUGGAGUAUACAAAUAACAUACAAUCAUGUGGCAGUGAGGAGGAAAACUAAAAACUGGCUAGGAAUUAGGACUAGUACGUGUAGUAAUCGUGUCAUGUGUUUCCGAUGCAUAUAGGUUUCAUAAAAUAAAUUUUAUCCAUGUCAUCUGCUGAAAGUUGAAGCGUUCGUCGUUGUACAGAUGAGAGGCAAACAAGUAUAUAUAUAUAGCCGGCAGCCAGGCAAAAGCUAAGCUAGUAACACACGGUAUGUAAUAAUUAAUUAAGGGAGAGCCAUCUCGAAACAUGCAUAUAUAGAAAUUAUUUUUCCUCAGAUCUCGCCGUCAAGCAUACAUGCAUUAUCUCAGACUUCGCAGUGGCGAGCUCGAUCGAUAUAUAUGAUGACUAGCAUCAGUACUAAAAUAGUAUUGUAUCAGGGACACACGUACGGCAUCGACCAGAGCACCAUGCAUGGUCCAUGGAUCAUAUCAUCAUUAUCAUGGCUUCAUGGGAUGGGAAUGGAUCGGAGUACGUGCUUAACCAUGAUCAGUACACACGUAUCUCUCGGAGGGGCGGCGGUAUCCCGGGUGAUGGCCGGGCGAUUAAUUAGUAGCUGUAGUUCUUGACGAACAUUCCCUCCUUGGCCUCGGCGGCCUCGCCGUCGGAGGUGUACUUGCCGAGCUGCGCCAGGGAGUUGGCCUUGGCGCGCAGCAGCAGCGCGUCCUGCGCCGCCUUGACCUUGUCCGGCUGGCCGCCCCAGGUCUUGAGGCAGGUGUUCUGCAGCGCCCGCGCGUAGGAGAAGGACACGUGCCACGGGUUGGGCCCCUGGUUCAUGGCGUUGAGGUUCUGCGUCGCCUCCACCUCCGACUGCCCGCCGGAGAGGAACAUGAUCCCGGGCACGGAGGGGGGGAUCCGGCGGUGGAGGAGCUUGAGGGUGUACGCGGCCACCUGCUCCGGGGUGGCCCUGUCCUUGGCCUCCG
rnacentral:lncRNA from 1 species